rnacentral:lncRNA from 1 species
UUUGUUCCCGAUUUCAUUUUCACUUUCGUCGCUUUCUUCGAUUUCUUGACAGACUUCCCUCCCUUUCUUCACGCUCUUCCCUCCUUUUCUUCACGGUGCCUCAUUUUCUCCGUUAGUCACUGGUGGAGGUCCUUCACGGUGCGUGCUGGUGCUGGNUCGUCGUGGGUUNGUUGCUGCNUUCAGGGGUUGUGGUGUCGAGGUUGAGGAACUUCGUUGGAGGGGCUGGUGGUGUCGUUCUCGUGCUCGUCAACGGCUAUCUUGGUUGAGGUAAGUUUCACAGAAUUUCAUUCAGAUUAUCAUGUUCAUCAACCUAGAACCCUAAAGAAAGCAAANUNUUGCCCCUGAUUUUGCUUUAAGGGUUCAGAGUAAUGUUCACAUUAUCAUGUNCAUCAAUGUCUUUAGAUUUCGUAAGCCAUUAUGACGAUGACUAUUGGGACUGAACGAGCCAUUGUGAAAGGGAUAGUCAGAGUAUAAUUUUAGACACCUGGGAAAGGGAUAGUCAGAGUAACGAGGCCUAAUAUACCCAUUGGUUUUUGGAUUUAGGGUUUACCGUAGAAGGGGUUAGUUUCUAACGUGACCAACAGAGGUUUGAAGUUUUAUUAGUAGAGAUACUCACCUUUUUGAGGGAAAAAUGGUUGAAACCUGUUGAGAGAGAAAAAAGAGUUGAAAGCUGAAAUAGGAUAAACAGAAUGUAUGCUAUAUGAUCUGAAUAUUAGAUUCUAAUUUUGGACUCGAAGGAAAACCGAAAGUAGAGAAAGUUUGAAUUGUGUAUUUUUUUUAUGUGUUUGUGUUUAAGAUUAAUGUCUUUUGUUUGGUUUUGUUUUUGCUGGGUAUUUAGGUUGAUGGUAGAAACAAGAAAAAGGGUGGAUUUCAGGUGGGGAAGAGAAAAGUGAAGGUCAAGUUGACUGCCCUUUGCUAAAGCUAAGGCUGCCCAGGCAAUGGAGCUUGACAACUGAGGUUUUACAUUUGCAGUUUUCUACAAUGUAUUGNAAUUGUUGGAUGACAGUGUUGUUUUAAGGUUUAAUAAUACUUUGUUCUGUUCUGUUCUCUUCAGCUAUGCAUAUAACUAUGAUAGUGUAAGGUGUAUAUUAUGUGACAAAUUAUGUUCUAAUAUUAUUGUCUCUCUUUUACAAAUUUUUAGUCCAAUCAAUUGCUUGCUUCAACUUCUAAAUCUUUUAAUUGAUUGAUACGAUUUUAUACUUAUGUCUUCUCUAUAUUGUGCUCGCUAUGUCUGUCUUGCAAGUAAUUUGUUGAGAUGAAGAGAGUUUGGCAUUUUGUUUGNAAAGAUAGAAGCAACAAUGAAGAUCCAAUUAGCAUACCUCCAGGCUGAACAUGCUUUCCUGCAUAAGAAUAUCCAGGAAGCAUUAGAUUUAAGGAAAUCUUGAAAAAUUUGUUUCUAACAUUAUAUUACAAGAGAAUAUGCAAUUAAACACCAUUUUAAUGGAAAAUAAUAUGAAGAUUUAAACUCUUACCUAAGGCCAUAACAACCGCAUAAGGAUCCCUGGUAGCUAUCUCAGAAACAAUUUCAAGAGCAUGCCUCACAACAACUGGAUCAGCAAAUGAAAUCCUGCAUUCAACUUUGCUUAGUUUUGAGAACUGAACACCGGAACUAAUGGAAGAAUGCAAAAGAGAAUAAUAAAGCAAACAAAGUUGCUCAAAGAGAGGUCAUGAACUAUUUGUUCAACAAAGUUGUGCUUGUAGGAGUAACUUACCCUUGUACAGCAUAAUGCAGAAAUCCUGGAUUUCCAGGAUCCAGAGGGAGCCUUCUCAAAGCACUUAAGGCAGCAUAUUAUAGAUUGCUUCGGAUGAUAGACUAUAUGAUCAAGCACAUAACACGUCAGAAACAUAGUAUAAUACCAUUGAAGUGUCUUCAUAUAAUAACUUAAGUUUUUUGGGACCAUUGGUCUGUGACAAGGUAUCAAAGCCUCUAUGACCAAGAGAUCUAGAGUUUGAUCUUUGUCAGAUAUCAAUCUAAUAAAUAGUUGAAUAUCAGCACUAGGGAUGUGGUCUUAAUAGUGUAANAGAGAGUUAUUCUCGUUUCGGUGAGCUGAUUGCCUAUCUGCCACAUNAGCAUAGUAAGUUAGUUCAAUAUAUGAUAUGAUAUUGAAAAGAGUAAGUUUGGGAGAAGAAGUAAAUAAAAGAGGUAGUCCCUCUAAUUACCUCUUAGAAGUGUAUACAAUAUAGUAAUAAUAAUUAUAAUGAUAGACAGUGUUUGUGGUUGAAAUAAAAUUGUGAAUGAUGUAUAAAUAUGAAGUAUAUAUAAAAGAUAAUGUAUAUGGUGUGGAAUGCAAGGACAGAAGAAACGUUGGAGAUUGAAAGGAGUGGUAGAAGUGUGCGCAGAGUAUAUCAGUUGUUAAUUUUUAUGGAUCUUUAUGUUUGUUUCAAACUUACAACCUUAUGUGUUUGNCUGCCUACUCCUGCAAUAUUGCAUUCCAUUCUAAAAUUAUCUAUUCACUNUUCACUCCAUAUAUAAUACAUUCCAAUAAUUAAUACAUGGUAAAAAUUCAUUCUUAUAUGCUUAAUUAUUUAUUACUAAAUAAAGUCAGAAUUAUUUUUUCAUAAUAUAAUUCCAUUACAUUCAUCUUUAUAUUUAAUAUGUUUUCAUACAGGAGCCUUCACGUCCUNACAAGGGCAAGACGGUAAAAAAGGCUAGGAACACGAAGUACGUUGUUAGAGUUCCUAAGGAGAUACCAUUCUCCAAUGCCAGAGCUCGACCAGAUGUUGGAUCCUCACGUCGACCACCACCCUCUUCUACGGCGCCCACACCUUCUGUCGGGCCCACACCUUCUACUAUAGGGCCCACUCCUUCUACUAUAGGGCCCACUCCUUCAGUUGUAGGGCUCACACCUCCUACUGUAGUGCCUACUCCUUCAGUGGUNNNNNNNNNNNNNNNNNNNNNNNNNNNNNNNNNNNNNNNNNNNNNNNNNNNNNNNNNNNNNNNNNNNNNNNNNNNNNNNNNNNNNNNNNNNNNNNNNNNNNNNNNNNNNNNNNNNNNNNNNNNNNNNNNNNNNNNNNNNNNNNNNNNNNNNNNNNNNNNNNNNNNNNNNNNNNNNNNNNNNNNNNNNNNNNNNNNNNNNNNNNNNNNNNNNNNNNNNNNNNNNNNNNNNNNNNNNNNNNNNNNNNNNNNNNNNNNNNNNNNNNNNNNNNNNNNNNNNNNNNNNNNNNNNNNNNNNNNNNNNNNNNNNNNNNNNNNNNNNNNNNNNNNNNNNNNNNNNNNNNNNNNNNNNNNNNNNNNNNNNNNNNNNNNNNNNNNNNNNNNNNNNNNNNNNNNNNNNNNNNNNNNNNNNNNNNNNNNNNNNNNNNNNNNNNNNNNNNNNNNNNNNNNNNNNNNNNNNNNNNNNNNNNNNNNNNNNNNNNNNNNNNNNNNNNNNNNNNNNNNNNNNNNNNNNNNNNNNNNNNNNNNNNNNNNNNNNNNNNNNNNNNNNNNNNNNNNNNNNNNNNNNNNNNNNNNNNNNNNNNNNNNNNNNNNNNNNNNNNNNNNNNNNNNNNNNNNNNNNNNNNNNNNNNNNNNNNNNNNNNNNNNNNNNNNNNNNNNNNNNNNNNNNNNNNNNNNNNNNNNNNNNNNNNNNNNNNNNNNNNNNNNNNNNNNNNNNNNNNNNNNNNNNNNNNNNNNNNNNNNNNNNNNNNNNNNNNNNNNNNNNNNNNNNNNNNNNNNNNNNNNNNNNNNNNNNNNNNNNNNNNNNNNNNNNNNNNNNNNNNNNNNNNNNNNNNNNNNNNNNNNNNNNNNNNNNNNNNNNNNNNNNNNNNNNNNNNNNNNNNNNNNNNNNNNNNNNNNNNNNNNNNNNNNNNNNNNNNNNNNNNNNNNNNNNNNNNNNNNNNNNNNNNNNNNNNNNNNNNNNNNNNNNNNNNNNNNNNNNNNNNNNNNNNNNNNNNNNNNNNNNNNNNNNNNNNNNNNNNNNNNNNNNNNNNNNNNNNNNNNNNNNNNNNNNNNNNNNNNNNNNNNNNNNNNNNNNNNNNNNNNNNNNNNNNNNNNNNNNNNNNNNNNNNNNNNNNNNNNNNNNNNNNNNNNNNNNNNNNNNNNNNNNNNNNNNNNNNNNNNNNNNNNNNNNNNNNNNNNNNNNNNNNNNNNNNNNNNNNNNNNNNNNNNNNNNNNNNNNNNNNNNNNNNNNNNNNNNNNNNNNNNNNNNNNNNNNNNNNNNNNNNNNNNNNNNNNNNNNNNNNNNNNNNNNNNNNNNNNNNNNNNNNNNNNNNNNNNNNNNNNNNNNNNNNNNNNNNNNNNNNNNNNNNNNNNNNNNNNNNNNNNNNNNNNNNNNNNNNNNNNNNNNNNNNNNNNNNNNNNNNNNNNNNNNNNNNNNNNNNNNNNNNNNNNNNNNNNNNNNNNNNNNNNNNNNNNNNNNNNNNNNNNNNNNNNNNNNNNNNNNNNNNNNNNNNNNNNNNNNNNNNNNNNNNNNNNNNNNNNNNNNNNNNNNNNNNNNNNNNNNNNNNNNNNNNNNNNNNNNNNNNNNNNNNNNNNNNNNNNNNNNNNNNNNNNNNNNNNNNNNNNNNNNNNNNNNNNNNNNNNNNNNNNNNNNNNNNNNNNNNNNNNNNNNNNNNNNNNNNNNNNNNNNNNNNNNNNNNNNNNNNNNNNNNNNNNNNNNNNNNNNNNNNNNNNNNNNNNNNNNNNNNNNNNNNNNNNNNNUGUUUUGACACUUAUCAUCUUUGGAAACUUAGAAUGAUUGAAGUUUUCUUGAUGAAUGUUGAAUGAUUACAUUUGAAUUGAUGUUUGGAAUUGAUGUUGUCUGGAUAAAUUGCUGUUUGGGAUUGUUGAUUUCUCAUUUGCAGGUUUUGGGUUUAAUAGAGAAGCAAAUUGGCUUCAAAAAAGACUAUCAAAAUUAUAGACGGCCUCCAGGCCGUCGCGCCGUCGCUAACACACUUUCGAACAGCGUUACCGAGGGCCUCAUGGCCUUCGGUAUUACCCACGGCCUUGUGGCCUUCGGUAUUACCGAGGGCUUUCAGGCCCUCGGUAAUACCGAGGGCCAAAAGGCCGUCGACAGGCCGUCGGUAAGGGGGGUUUACCGACGACUUUUGGUCCGUACCGAGGGCUUUUGUUCGUCGGUAAAUCCCUUCUUUUUUGUAGUACUCAAUAUCAAUUCGAAACAAUUUUCUCCAAUAUUCAUAUAUAAAAAUGGACUGAUUUUGAAAACUGCAUCAUAAUAUGUUCAGGCUAUCAUGACCUAAAUUUUUGCUACGUCAUAAAAUGUGUAGACCUAUUAUACAUACAAAACUAUGUACGUCAUAGCUCGUUUUUGUACGUCAUAAAAUAUGAUUUUUGUACUCACCCUAAAGGCAAGCAACAAAUCACUUUUAUCAACGAUGUAGUUGGCAUAAGUACAAUGAGUGUCACUAUUUUAUUGAUCGUAUAUUUAAAACAUAUCAAUCAUAAGCUGUCACAUAAGCGGUUGUAAAAAAUUAUCAAAAAAAAGUUGUUAAAGAUACAUUUUCCUUGACAUAAACAGUACCAUGCAUCCCAACAUUUGAAGGGAAUGUUCGUGGCCCAUGGGGAAAGUUCUAAGGCCUAUUAAAGUGCCGACAACAAGAAUCCGAGUGAGUUCCACAAAUCGCUUCAGCUCGGCGCUGGAGUUCGAAGAACCAACUCCCACAUACAAAACGGGCUUUUGGGCCUCCAAUACGAGUCUGACAAUUUGUUCCAACUAGGCAUCCCUGGGGAGUUUGGGCAGUCUGGUGGUGUACCUGGGAAGCUUAUUGGGAAGGUCCCAAUUAGGAACUGUAAGUUACUGUCGAACAUCUUUGGGAACGCCGAUCAGGACUAGGCCAGGACAACCAGAAAUGGCGAAGAAGAACGACCCGCGAAAUAUCGUCGACAUUGAGGAUGAGGUAGUUGUGUUUGGUGAUGGAUCUGGAAACUUCGACGAUGGGGGUUUCCUAGAAAGCAUCGGUGCCAAAUACGCCUCAGUCAAAUUUCAUUCCAAGCAUUGUUCAUCGUCUUCUUUCGCUCUCAAACCCACACACUCAUCAUCAACCUUUUUCUUCUUCACGCCAUCAACCUGCAGAAGCUCCUUCGUCCCCAUCUACAACCCUGCAAGUUAAACUUUUUAUUAUCAACUUUUAGAAUCGGUUAUGUGUAAAAGUGAAUCGAUUAUGAAUCGAUUAUGUAUAUUAAAGUGAUAUACAGAGAUGGAAUACAAUAAUACAUUGAGAGCACAUAUGACUUUUUACUGCAAAUCCCUCCUGAUCUCUCCCCUGUCGCGGGUGACCGAAAAUCUAUCCAUCCCACGAAUCCAUCUUCGUGAUCCUUGUUUUUCCUCUCAAGCGAACACGAAAUUUCCUGUAUUUCUUUGCUCUCAAAACUGCAUGAACAGUUAAAUAUGUUUAUGUGAACACAACAUUAAUGAUCAACAUUGUUGUUCUUUAAGUAGAAAAUGGAUAUAUAUAAAAAUAAAUAAAACAAGUAUCUUUCACAUAAAAAGUCUAUUAGUUUCAUUGUAUUUUAUUUUUCAUUGUCAAUUUUUUCAAAAGUCAUUAGAAGCUUCUAUGUUUCUAUGAUUAGGUUCUAAGUGAGUAAAUUGAUUGUGUAAAGCAAAAAAAAAAGGACAUAAAGGAAAACUGAAACAAUGAGAUAGUUUCUUGAUAACCUACUUUUCUUUUAUUUGUAUAGUUUUACUAUAUUAAAUACUCUUAAAUUUAUUUUUUUAAAGUAUUCAUCUUAACCUGUUUUAGAUAGGACUAAAACAAAAACUUUCUUGAUUUUUCAAAUCACAAUAUUAAAAAUUAAUUUUAAAUUUAGAGAAUAAAGGUAAACUUAAAUUUAAGAGACUAAAGUAGGAUUUGUUUAUCUAAUUCUAAAUAAAGAUGUAAUAAAGCACAUCAACGAUAUAAGGAAAUAAUUUAAACAAUUUUCAUUCUUGUAAUAGCGGUAAUCUCAUUUACUUUUAUAUACUUACUUUAAAAAUUUUAAGAUAACAAGUAAUUCAGAUAUUGACACGUGUAUGUUAGGCCAAUUUAACUUAAGAAUUUUUUUUUAAAGAAACAAGAACUUAAUUGAAUUAAAAAUAUAUAUAAAGAUCAAAAAUAAAAACCUUAUGCAUAAAAUACAAAACUAAUAAGAAAUAUACUGAAGUAUUCAUCAAAAUGUUUGUUUAGGAAUGUUCAACUCUAAUGUCUAUGUUUGAAUUCAUCAACAUACCUGCUAAAUUUGGUGAGACGUGUUGCUACAGAGUUUGAUGGAGUCAUGCCGGUAUUUUGAUCGAAUCGGCGCACUUCACCACCAACCAGACAAUUUCAGACGCUUUUGCCACCGCCGGGAGAGGCCACGUACGUAAUAGAUUUCGGAAUCAACCAAGGCCUUCUCAUUGCCGGAUCUCGACCCGGACAUUCUCCUGGAUCUCCAAUAACUGAACAUUCUUAAAGCUUCACCUUUUCUUUGGUCUUUGAUCUUUGUUCAUUUUUGGCUAUGAUUUCAGAAGGAUUCUGCAAAAACGUUAAGGGUAAGCUAUGGUGUGUUCUUAGAGUUGACAAGGUUGAGUUGAGAGAGAUUUUAGCUGUGUGUGUGUGAUCUUAAAGAGGAUGACUGUCGGUAGGUGUAUUUAUAGUGAAGAGGAUCGAUGUGUGAUGUACCAAGAAAAUGAAUCAUAGAAAGAAUGAAACUUCAAACGAUGGUGUGUGAGAAGUGCUAGCUAGCUGUAUGAUGUGAUUUUUUCUGUUUUUUCAUGAAAGAAAAGGAGGGUUGAAAGCGCUUCUUGAUCUAAUUCAGUUUUAUAAACACUCCAUUCCUUAAAUUUCAAAACAAAUAAUACCUGGAAAACAUUGAUAGAAAACAUGUUUAAUGAACUUGCGAUGGAAAUGUGUUUCGGUAUGAUGGGUAUGUGAUGUGAUGAUGGUGUUACGUGGUCCAACUUGAUGCAGUCUUGUGGCAUUGGAUACCCUCUUGUACUGGAAAAUAAUAUUUUAACAUCAUUUUUUGACACCAUUUUGAUACUGUACACGUGUCAAAAUGUGGUUGAACGAUUUCAAAUUAAAAAAAUAAACUUUGGUUUUUCUUUUCCAAAUAUACUCCUGUAUCAACUUUUUUAAUUUGAAAUCGUCCAACCACAUUUUGACACGUGUGCAGUGUCAUGUCAAAAAAUGGUGUUGUACAGCACAGGAAUACGUUGGUGUAUGAAUUUCCAUCACGAAAUUAAAAAUCUGAUCGUUGAGAAAGAAACACUUUCCAGAUCAAGCAGUGUUACAUUGUUCAACCUUCUUCUUCUCAGACAGAGUACUUGUCUGUCUGCAUGCACGUUUAGGGAAAAAUGGUAGGGUGCACUGCACGUGGACGAGAGUACUCUACUAAUUAAUUCAUAAUCAAUGUCCAUCAUACUGCCCUUUCAUCAUUUUCAUCUAAAACACCAUAUAUAAGAUUGUAUAUUGAUUAUUAGAAAAUGGUAUAAUUUCUUAUAUGAUUGAAUUCCAGUAUGAUUGAUAUUAUAAGUAUCAAUGUAAUUAGGAUUGAAUCUUGAUAUUAGAUUUAAAUCAUUGUUAAAGAGCUAAUACACGUGUUUGGGAGAAUUUGUUAUAGGUUGCGUAAUUAUUUGUAAGUAUAAAUAGAAAUAUUAAGUUAGUAGGCUCAAAAUCUCCAUAAGUAAAAAGAAAAAAAAUAAAGAUAUGUCACUAACUGAAUUGGAUGAUUGAGAUUAAGAAAAGAUAUUACAAAGACUUGUCUCUCCAAAGAAGGUAACAAGUGGACAUUGACAGGUGAAUAUUGGAAGGUUACUUAGAAAACAAAUAUUGAGAUAGAGUAUUUUGGAAGGGUAAUAUUGAAUUAUUUUGAGUUUAAGAUGCUUUUGAGAGUAAAAAUUAUUUAGAUUUGAAUUAUAAAUAAUUUGUAAUUUUUUUAUUUUAAAAAAAUUGUAAUUAGGUGAAUUAGUGAACCAAACCGUAUAAUUCACUAAUUCUUGGUGAGUCGGAUUGAGUUCGAAUUUUUCUGACUCGUUAAUAAAUGAGUUAGAUUGGACUGAUUUACUAAGUGACCAACCUUUGAUAAGUCGAAUCGAAUCGGACUGUGUGGCCUGUUUUCUAUUUAUAUUUUAGAAAAAGACAUGUAUAUGAUGUAAGAAAAUAACUCUAUAAGCAUAUCUUUUCAAAUAAAAAUAAAUAAAGAUAAAAAGAAAUUGUUAUGAUGGUAGGAUUAGCAAUCUUCGAUAAUUGUUUGAUAUUGAACGUAAUAAGAGAAAAGAAUUAGCACUUUUCAAUAAUGGAAUCAUUAAACUUUCUCUCUCCAACUCCGAUGCACAGCAAAUCUUAUUAAGACGGAUUCAUCGAAAAAAGCCAGAGUAAUUUUAGUUAACUUUUAUUUAUAGAAUGAUUAGUUUAAUUUUUUUAAAAGAAAAAUAUAAAAAAUAUAAUUAAAAAGUUAAACAAAAUUGACUAAAAAAACGUGACUUUUAAAUAUAAAGCACCUUCAUCAACAUUUUUUUUGUCGUAUGGGUAGUUAUCAUCUGGGUUUGAAAAGUUUUUAAGAAAAACUUCUUUUAACAACACUUUUUUAAUAAUUUUUUGACAACGCAUACGUGGCAGUUUGUGAUUGGUCCGUUUUAAAUAUUUUUUAAACAUAAAUUCAAAUAGACCAAUAAAAUGAUGACACGUAUCCCAUUGUCAAAAUAUCAUUAUCCAAGUUUUUAUUUAGCUUUACGGUGAAAGUCAAUAUGCUUCGGUUUGGUUGUAGAGUUGACCGUCCAUUUAAAAUAAUUUCUUUAUUAAGUAUUCAAGUAAUAUUUUUUUUUGAAGAAAUGAUGAGUAUUUGCUUCCUAGGGUGAAAAUUAUAUUCCCACUAAAUUUUUUUUAUUUGUACAUCAAUUUUUCACUACAAAAGUCAUUUUUCUUCCUUCUUCGUCACCAAACGCAAACCAAACUAACGCUUUCAUCAUCACUUCUUCUCUCUCUUUCUUUCUCCAACACAAAAAGUGUUGUUGCGUUGUCACUGCAAACAUUCAUUUUCUUCCCAUUUCGAACAUAGUUAUAAAGUUUCAAGAUAUUGAAGAACCUAGAAACUCAUUUAUCAUGUUUUUAUUACAUCAGUUUUGCUGCAACUUAUUUAAGAUAGGUUUAAUACAUCUUUUGGUCCCACUUUUUGUGGCUUUUGUUCAAAAUCAUCCCACCUUUGGAAAAAAAUCACUUUGGUCCCAUAUUUUAUUAAAUGUUGUUCAAAAUGGUUCUUAUGGCAGACGGCGUUAAAUUUUUAACAGUGAAGUUGCUAGCGUGGCAAAAUUCUAUCCACCUGUGCCCAAUUUAUAUGACGUGGCUUUUUGAAAAAUUUAAGGGUAAUUAAAAACAAAUUAGAAACCCAGGGCCUCUCUCCCACUUUCCUCCCCAUUUCACUCAACGAAGAACAAGAGACCCAGGGCCUCUCUCCCACCUCUCCGCUGGCGAACCCUAAGACCACCAUCUCCACCGCCUGUCUCCUCCGUGAGCAAUCACCGUAAGGAUCAACGCCAGUCACUACGCCAGACCCUUUCCCUAUCUCCUCUUCAUCUUGCGCAAGCAUCUUCUUCAAUUUCUCGACGGUCGCCGCCAACUAAACAGACCGCCACCGCCUCCAUCGGAAUUAGUUGUCGUGAAAUGAGACGCAAGCAUCUUCUUCAAGUUCUCCACCCCCUUUGUUCUGUUUCUAUCCCUUGGUCCUACCGAAGCCGUCGUCAACGCCGGCGGAGGAACCAUCUUCAUCAAAAUCGCUUUCUAUCUCUAGAUCUUCUUCAUCGUCGCGGUCUAGUUUGUCAUUGGGCUUUUAGCGUUUUCGGGAAUCGUUGGUGAAGAAAGGGACAUGGCUUUUCUUCUUUCGCGGCAUGAUUCAGAUUCAAAGGGAACGAAUUGGCGAUAGAGUUUUUGAGAAGAGAUUCGGGAUAAUAGGGUAGUGUGCGAGGGGUUUAUUCUUUUCACGUUCAUUAACUUGGCGGGUGUUGUUCUUUCUUGUUUGAGUUAUACUGUUGUUGAUGUUGGAAAAUAAGGAAGAAAAGGGUUUAGUGGAAGAUGAAGGAGGGGUUGAGUCUGCAGGUAGCCGUGACGUUGAGGGGGGUUGGGCUCUUCCCUAUGUUCUUCCAUGACUCGGGAAGGCGAAACAAACACUAACACUAAGGUAUUGAAUCUGGUUCUUGUUAUUGGUUGGGUGUGAGUUUCUGCUUAGUGAAUCCAUUCUAUUGUUGGUUGGGGGUGAAGAGAGGCAUUAAAAUCUAUGGAAAAUAGGAGAAGCAGUGGUGUUUAAUGAUUUAAGAAUGGAUUGACCGCAGAAGUGAUUGUUGUAGCUUCACUAAUGCAGGGUGUGUUCAGGGAAGGGGAUGAAAGUGUGCAAUGAAAGUGUAGAAUGAAGAAUGUGGAAGACUCAACACAGCACAUACUCAAGCGAAAACGAGCAUAAAAGGCAGCAUAACACAGUGAACGUAUAUGUCACUUUUUUUUAUUUUAAUUAUAAAUGAUUUCAGAAGCCACGUAAGUUUUUAAUUUAAUAGCUCAUCAACGUUUUGCCAUGUCAGCCUCUGCUCUGUUAAGAUUUUAACGUCAUCUGUUAAAAGGACGAUUUUGAACAACAUUUAAUGAAAUAUGGGACCAAAGUGAUUUUUUUCCAAAUGUGGGACGAUUUUGAACAAAAGCCACAAAAGGUGGGACCAAAAGAUGUAUUAAACUUUUAAGAUAUUGUUAUUUAAGAUAUUGUUUUAACAUGUCUAUUUUUCAUGGAAGUUUCUUGCGACGGUGGAGAAUGGCCAUUUGUUGCUGGUUAAAGACAAUCCAACUUAGACACUAAAUGUUACUGUCAUGUCCUAACAAAAACAAUUAAUUAAAAAACAUUAUCUUAAAAUUACAUCACACGACUUUGCCAUGAAUACGGAAGUAAUUGUUGUCAAGAUUUUAAAUAUACAACACAACUUUUACGUCACAAAUUAUACAACUUACUUAUUGCCAUAAAAUUGUUAAGAUUUAUUGAUUUCACUGUAAAAAUUUCUUUUGUCGAACCAUUCUGCUAUACACAUAAAUAGUUUUUUGGGUCUUGAAAUUCAAACAAAUUAUUAGUAUGUAUGGUUAGAUACACAAUCUAUGUAAAGCGAUGGACAUUUAAGAAAAAAUUUUAAAAUUGAAGUUGUUUACCCGUAAAUUUUAAAAUUUGAUAAUUGAUUUAAAAUUUUCAGAUUAAGAAUAAAUCAUUAUGAGUCUGGACGACUUUUCAAUUAAAGUUAUCAAUAGUUUUAACGAUUUUUUCAUAAAAAUCUUAAAAAAUAAAGUUGAUUCGUAACUACUUUUUUGUAAAUAUGUUAAAGAAAAUUUAUUAGAAAUAAUAACUACUUUCCAUCUAUAGGAUAUCAGUAAGGAAUUUUAAUGGAAUCCAAAUCAUCUUAAUUAACUAUUACGACUUUAGUUCAAUGCAUUUAAAAAAAAAAAUUAUCAUGGGUCAUUACUUCAUUUAGGAAGAAGUCGCCAAUGGACGAUUUUAUUCUGAGAUUCGUGAUAACUUACCCUUAAUAUCUAAAUUUUAAUUCAAUUAUUUCAAUUACGGGAUAAAUUACCCUCUAUUUGUUUUUUCAAAUUUCAACAUUAGUGUUCAUAGGUAACAAAUACUAGAAGAGUGUAUGUAAAAGGAACCCUCCUUUUUUAAAAAAAAAAUGUUGAGAAUCAAGUAUAAUAAGUUACUGUGUUCGUCAGUUACACAGAUUUUAGUAAAGCAAAAUAAAAUUUUAAUACCAUUUUUUGACACCAUUUUGACACUGCACACGUGUCAAAAUGUGGUUGGACGAUUUCAAAUUAAAAAACAACAUUUGGUUUUUUUCUUCCAAACAUAUUCCUGUCUCAACUUUUUUAAUUUGAAAUCGUCUAAUCACAUUUUGACACGUGUACAGUGUCAAAAUAGUGUCAAAAAAUUGUGUCAAAAUAUCAUUUUUCCUUUAGUAAAACAAAUUGAAGCAAAGAAACAACACUAGGAGGAAAGUAAAACCAGCGAUAAAUGGAAAUCUAGUGGCUUCUACAGGGUACCUUUUGUCUGAUGAAUUGGUUUGAGAAAGUAGAUAAAGCAAAAGGAAGAUAAAAACACGGGACUACGUCAAAUUUGAGCAAGACUAGGCAACCAUAAAAGUGGACUAUGGUCUCAUGAUUAGGUUACUUGUAGGGAAUGUAUAAUGUACAAUGUUCACAAAAACAACUAAAGCAAACCGAACUCUUCAACAAUGGGACCGCCGUCAUGUCACAUUAACCAACUCUAAGUUCCUUCAGAAGCUCAAAAAGAAAACCUUAUAACCAUUAGUUUUCCCAAGAGAAUGCUUCCAAACAGACCAGCCUGGUCUUGAGUGCUCUCUGCUACCACUGUCUGGCAUGCAUUACCCUGUUACUUGUAUCCCCAACAAAGUGCAUUCCAAGUGCUUGGAGAAAUGUAUACCCAUUAUUGCUUUUCAAGUGCUUAGCCUCAAGGUUUCUCAUAAGUCCUUCUCUCGUUAUAUACUGAAUGAGCUUCUUCAGCUUCAAAAUGGUUUGCAAUCACACUUAUUUUCAAUUUCUUUAUUUUCUACCAACACAUAUACUUACUUCGUUUUUAUAUACUAGUUAACCCCACCAGCACUAACAAGAUAAUGUGGGUCUUAGGCGCACGGCUACAUUUUAAAGCUAAUAAUACACGUUACCCUUUUCUUCUUUCAAAAGUUUGCCAGGUCUGUGUUUUGAUAUAGGCUGCAGUGAGGAAGAGAAAACAUUUGGUGGUGAAACACACCAGAUGACCAAUUAAGAAUUGUCAGUUGUACCACUUCACUCACCACAAGAAGUAAACAACUAAGUGAAAAAUGUUCAUUUACAACACACUUUCGAGUGCUUCACAGGUUAUCCAAAUUCUAAUCAUACAAACACGCACACCACAAAGGUGUAUCAGAUUCAAGUCUAGAGAGAUGGCCAAAGUUGUGCAUUCUUCACCUUGGAUACACUCGCCAGUACCCCCAUUGGUGUCACGUCUCCGAUUAUCGUCACUUUCUUUGUCUCCAUUUCUAUGCUGAAUGAUGUCACUCCUACAAACCCAUAUAAUAUUCUCAACAAAUCACCUUUCUUUCAUGCAAGAUUAGUUUAUAUAAAUGAUUAUGGUAGCAUUAGCAUAAACAUCAAACUUUAAUGUUUACAAAGAACAUAAAAUUCAACUAUACUGCUAUGUAAACUCCAAAACUAAGUAUGUAUAAACCAGACUCACCUUCCAUUUUUGAAAUAUGUUUUCUAAUUUUCCCUUCGCAGGCCUUGCAGUGCAAUGACACCCUCAAAACCACAACCUGAUAAAGGUUUCAGAAAAAGUGGUAACUGGUAAGUAUCAUUUUGAGAAAAAAGAAACAAAGGUUGAAAAGAAAAGAAAAGAAAAACCUGGUCCUUGGAGCGAGCUGAAGAAGAGGAGCGAAGAGUAGGAGCAUGGUUUCUUUUUAUAACCAUGGUCUUGUCUUCGACAUCAUGUCGAGAAGGAACCAUUUGUGUGAAUUUAUUAGACUCUGAUACCCACUCAACGAAUGGCGCGUCAGCAAGGAGAUAUCUUCUGGAUGAACGCUCAGCACUGGCAUGAGUAUAUAGGUCAUUAACAUCAACAGAACUUUUUCUACGCGUGUCACUGUUAGCCUUAUCAGCCGAGCUCUUUCUGUGCUUCUCCAAGUGAGGCUUAGGAGUUAAGGGCAAUUGGGAUGAACAAGGUACACAGAGUUGGCUUUUCCUUCCAUCAUGGUCGUAGCUUUUUGUUCUUCCACGCACCGUAGAACGAUGGUGCAUGCUAGAAGUUACAGCUGUGGAAGCUGAGGAAGAACAUAGCAAAUCAAUUCCUUUCAUGGUUAUUUUCCUAGUAGUUAAUUUCUUUGCUUGCAAAUAGUUAUAUAAGCUUAUAGACAAGAGAGAAUAGAAUGGAAGCAAUGAAUUUGGUGUGGUAGGUAGUAGCUGAAGUCAGAGCAGAGGCAAAGAGAGCAACAUAAAAAUCUUAACUAGGUAGGGGAAAAGGAAAAUAAUGAAUUUGGUCCCACUAGGGUAAUGAUGGCUUAGACAGAAGAUUAAUCUAGAUUAUUACCAUUUCCUUUUCUUAACCAUCAUUACAAAUUAUAUAAUAAGAUAAUAAUAAAAGUGGGUUGAUCUUUGUUGAGAUAUGAUUACUACCACUAGUUGUGGAACUAAGAAAGUUUAGAGGGUGACGAGGACGUUGUAUUAUUGAAGCAUCAUUGUUCCACAGUGGGCUCCUUCUUUCGUUUUCUUUUAAUUAGCCCUUUUCUCGUGCUUUUCGAACACUGGUAGUGGAUGAAUGGCUGCAAAUCAGUCACAUUGGUUGGUGCAUUUUCUUCCCAAUUAUUAAUGUCUGUCAUAUUACUACUUGUUGUCAUUUAGCACUUAAUCUCAUUCAAAUGGUUACGUGUGCUUUUCUUCAACUUUGGUGGGAAUAUCGUAAUCGUGAUAAUCACAUAGCUGUGACGAAUAAUGCAUGUUGUGGCAUUAAAUCCAACUAUGCUAUGAAUCACAACUUGAAACUGCCCCCAAAGUGUUUGUGUUUAUGUUUGUGUUGCGUUUGGUCUCUGAAAGAAACAAAGUUCACUUCCGUGAAGAAGCAUAACAUUAAUCUAAAUUAAACCCUUUGUUAGGGUUUGAAAUAAAAAUGUUAUCCGAUUGAACUUUGAUCACCACACAAAUCUUGUGCAAGAUUUUGGGGAUUACUUGGGAAGAAAGGACAAAUGAUAGGUCAAAGGUCGGCUACUAGAAAGUUUCAAACAAAUGCAAAGAAACAAGAAAAAAAAAAGGUUUGUGGAAAGUUGUGAAUUCGACUCAAAAUGACUUUAAUUGGUAAACGCAAAAUUAUAUAAAACAAGUAAUCAUUCGACAGUAAGUGUAACUAAUUUGUAAAACUGUGUUUAAUCAUUCAACAUUAAGUCUAACUAAAAUUAUAUACUUUUUAAACUUGACAGACUGAAAUGAUUUUUUUAAAAAUAAAACCGUAAGUUCCAAAUUUCGUUAAAUUAAAUAUAAAAUAUAUAAUAAAGUCUUAAUUUAUGAAAAACGUUUUUAUGACUAUUGGGAUGAUGCAUGAUGCUUCCUAGGAAUUAGAAAGGUUUGCAAAUUUUUUCUCUUUUUCCUCUACUCUUCGUGGCAUCUUUUUCUUUUUAUUUUCUACUUCUCUGAACAUUAAUUAAAAAUAGUAGAUGAAUAGACUUCUUUUUCUCUCCUAUGCUCUUCUUGUCAUUUCCUUCACACACGGUCAUUCAAUUCAAGCGUCCUCUACCGUUCGAUGCAUCAAUCUCUUUUACUGUUCCAUCCGUAACAAACAGCAACACAAUUUAGAUUGAUGAAGGUUUUGCAAUGAAGGUUGUUGUGCGAAAAUGAUGAAGGGGGUGGACUGGUGGUGUCCUAGUUAUGUGAAACUAUGGAGGUUUUUGGUGAAGAAGAUGAGUGUGGCAGCUUCACAGUGCUUUUCUGAUUGGGGUUUUUGUAACACUUGAUUGGGGGUUUUUGUAACAUGCGCAAGACAUGACAGUAACGAGGUGGGUGAAUCAGUUGCACAUAGUGGUCGAGCAUCGGAUGAAGGAAGGAAGGAAGUCAAGCUGAGAGUGUCAAGCCGAACGGCAAGUGUCAAGCCGAGAAGAGGGAAGGGGAAUUUUUCACCGAACGACAGAGGAACUUUGCACGGAAUGACAGAGGAAUUUUUGAAUCGAACCAGAAAGUGUCAAGCCGAGAAGAAGGAAUGGGAAUGUGUAGAGGAACACCUUGGAGGAAGGAGAAAAAGAAAACAAAUAUGUCCUACAAUUAUGAAAAUCAUGAAAGAGAAAAUUUUGGACAUUGCAAAAAGAACAAAUGAGAGAGAAGAAAAAGAUCAGAUUUUAUAGUCACUUCAGCUCGGAGUUAACUCGGUUUAUGCCAAUUUAAUCGAGGGACUUAAUUCAUAUAAUUUUUACAACUUUAAUGUAUACACUUUUAAAACCGGAUACUAAACUGAAAAAACUCACUUGAUCAAGUAAACAAUUAAGCCUUAUUUUUAUGCAUAUCUUAUUGGGCUUUGGUUAUUUAAGAUAGUAGAAACCUACUAGAGUAUAAAUAUCAAUUUUACAUAAAAUCAAAGCUUAUAAAUCUCUUUAAACAUGUCAAUUUGACUCCAUCAUGUGAUUUGGUUCUGAUUGGCAUGGAUUGUCAGAAAAAUUCACAGAUCAAAAAGUCUUCCAUCAAAAAAGUUCACAAGAUCAAAAUAUUCAUAAAAGUUUUGUGAAUCAAGUUUAGUCCAUGGAGUUUCUUUUUAAAAAAAAUAUUUAUUUUGAAUACAAGAAAAAAAAAAUGUAAUUAACUCUUAAUUUUUUUGUAAAUAUAAGUACUUUAAUUUUUCAAAAAACUAUAUAUAAACAUUUUAAUCAAACUAACAUAAACUUUAUAAGGAGUUUCAAUAAAUUAGAUUACUUGCUUAUAAAGAAAAAUUACGUAACAUAGAAUGUUAAAAUCCUUAACUGACUAGAUAUAUUUAAUUUUUCUGGACUGGCUAAACAUAUUUUUAAAAUAUAUAAAAUGGUUAUUUAAUUUUUGUUCUAAAAAUACUCAUUUAAAUCCAACUCAAAACUAAAUAUUACAUCUCAAUUUGAAAAUUUAAAAUAAUGAAAUUAUGAAUAAUAAAUAUAUGUUCUUUUAUUACAUGUUUUUUUUGUAAUGUAUGACUUAAAUUUAUACUUAAAUUUUAUUAUUUAUUUAUUUUUCUUUAAUAAACUUUACUAUAUAUAUAUAUAUAUAUAUAUAUAUAUAUAUAUAUAUAUAUAUAUAUAUAUAUAUAUAUAUAUAUAUAUAGUAAGUAUGAAAAAAAAACUUUAGUUGAGAAGUUUAUUAAAAUUAAGCAAAUAUUCUCUAUCCUCGUGUUUAAAAUUUAUCACAAUAUACUGUUCAUUAAAUAUUAUAAGUUUUUCUUUAAAAAAUUGAUAAAAAUAAUAAAAUUAUACUCAACUAUAUUUAAAUUAUACAUUAUAUAUUUUAUUUAAUAAGAUAUGAUAUAAAAAUAUUGAUUUAAAUAUAAUAAAAUUAUAACAUAUUAACUAUAUAUAUUGAUUUUAUAUAUACACAUAAAUUGUAUUAUUUUUAAAAAUUAAUUAAAGUCUUAUGGUCAAAUUCAUUUAAUCUUGACUCUAACCUAUUCGAAAAUAGAUUUUGAAAGUGAGAUUAUUUUUGUUCUCACUUAAAAUAAACCUCCUAAAAUGAAUUUUUUUAAUAGUAAGUUAAGAUUGAUCCGUAGAUGAAGUUAACACAUCGACUUACCACUUAAACAAAAUAUUUUACCUAGAUAUGUAUGUGACCCAAAUGAAUUUCAAUAAUUGAUACUUUUGUUUAUAUUGUUAAAAAAAUAUAUUGGGUUUAUAUAUUAUGUGGGCCUCUGUUCCGUUGAAAGGAUUAGUUAACGGUUUGAGACUUUUCUAAUAUUUAAAUUUCUCCCAUUCAAUGAUCAAGGUUGCCACCUGUGAAACACCUGUAUUGACAAAACAAGACCCAAAACAAUUAAUAACAUACUUUUCAAACACUUACAAACUAAAGAAUGUUCAACUAAGUUAUGUGAAACCUUGGGCCCAGGCCCAGGCCCAUUUCCUUCCCUUUCUCUUCUCUCUCUCCUCUCAAAAAAUGAAAAAUACUUUGCAUGUGUUCUCUCCUUCCCUCUAACUCUCUCUUAUUUCUUUAAUUAUAAUUCCUAUUUUCAUAUCUUUCUCAAGAUUAUAGCCUGUAGAUAGGGAACAUAUUCAUUCAAUUGGAAUUUUAAAAUAAAAAUAAAAAUAAGUUAAUUGAUGUUUUCGUUUUUUAUAUUCACAGUCUCUCUUAGUUUUACCAAUUCAGAAUCUUAAUUCUGCUAACUAGUUUUUUGAAUUAUUUUUAAUUAUUGUUUUACUUGUUCUUAGAAUUAAAAGUUUGCAUGUGUUUUUAUUAUUAAAUUUCUAAUUGUUUAACCCCUUUUUAGGAUACAAGAAUCUAAUAAGUAUUGAAGUCUAUAUAUAUAUUUAAACAUUCUUGCUUAAGUAAAAAAGAGAUAUAAUUUAUUCAUGAGUUAAAUAUGUUUUUAGUCUCUAAACUUUGAAGCGAUUUUAGUUUUAGUCCAUUUUCAAACUAUGGUAUAAUUUAGUCCUCCAACUUUAGAGAACUCUGGUUUUAGUCUUUUUUACCAAUUUUUUUUAACUUUAUUUGUUAUUUCAAGCACGUUUUUUAGUUAACAUUGAAGCAAAAAUGUGUCAGUGUAAACAAUCCAAAUGCUAUAAUGAAACGUGUUUGAAACAACAAAUAAAGUUAAAAAAAAUUGGUAAAAAAGACUAAAACCAGAGUUUUCUAAAAUUGAAGGAUUAAAUUGUAUCAUUGUUUGAAAAUGGACUAAAACUAAAAUCGUCCCAAAAUAUAGGGACUAAAAACAUAUUUAACCCUUUAUUCAUUUUACGAUUUUUAAAAGAAAUUAACACUUUUAUUAUGAAUUUUUAUGCAUAUUACGUUUAUAUAUAUAUAUAUAUAUAUAUAUAUAUAUAUAUAUAUAUAUAUAUAUAUAUAUAUAUAUAUAUUAUGGUAAUAUAUGUAAAUUCACACAUACAUAAUAUGUUGUUUAUUUAAAUGAUGUAUUUUGUUGAAUUAGUAUAAGGUAUGCUUUUCAUAAAAUUAUAUCGGUUUGGGUUUAAUAUGAUAAAACAUAUUUGUGGUGUACGUACUGUUCAUUUGUGCUUAUAUUCAUUGUAAAAUUUUAAAUGCAUAAAAAUAAAUGAGAAAUUAUUUGUUUAAUAUGACAUAGAUAAUUUUGGAGGAUAUCCUAAUAUAAAAUAAGAAUUAAUUUUAUACUUUUAUAUUUAUAUUUUUUAUUCAUUUGGCUUUUAUACCUUUUUGUCUAUUUUUUUUGAAAAAAAUAAUCAAUUAAGUUUUUCUUUUUGUAAAAACAAUUUAAUACCACAAUUUGGAACUGUUAUAUGCCAAAAAUAUUACUCUGACAUGUUAAAAUGUAAUUAUUAUUUUUACGUAAAAUAUGUCACGUGUCAAAAUCAAAGAAAUUCUAAAUCAUUCAAUUUUUGACACGUGAAAAACUUAAAUUUUAGAUAACACGUAUAUAACAAAAAUGAAUAUGUUAAGUGUUUUUUCAAAAAUAAGAACUUAAGUAAAAAAUAAAUACAAAAAUAAAAAACGAAUUAACAUAUAAGUAUAGACAUCAAAUUAUUACUAAUGAGACUUAUAAAUAGAGCUGUCAAAAGGUUCGGCUCGAUCCGGUCCGGUUUAUCACGAGUUGAUCACUUUGUGAGCCAAUCCAACUCGGCUCAUUUAUUAGCGAGUCAGAAAAAUUCAAGCCCAACUCGACCUACCACGGGUUGGUAGGUAAACGGGUUGAUUCACUGCCUCACUUAAUUACAAUUUUUUUAAAAUAAAAAAAUUACAAAUUUUCUAUAAUUCAAAUCUAAACAAAUUUCACUCUAAAUUUCACUCCCAACAUGGAUGUUUAAUUAAUUUUGAAAAUAUGGAACUUAAAUAAUUUUUUCAGCAAAAAUAAUAAUAAAUAUUUUUUUAUAAAAUUAAAAUUAAAUUUUAACAAAAUAAAAUUAGGUAAGCGGGUUGGUGAGCCAACCCGACCCACCACGGGUUCAACUCGAAUGAAUCGUGUUUAAACCCAUUUUGACAGCUCUACUUAUAAAUAAUUUAGUGAUGAUUUGAUUUAAAUUUAAAUAAGUUGUCCCAUUAAAUGAUUAUUUGAUUCCAUGAUGUUAUUGUUGUAUUGGAGUUAAUGCAUGAAUGGGAAAUAAUGCAAGCUUUGGUAAGAAAUAUUAGAGUGAUUAAAUUGUAUUCUAGAAGAGAUUUUUGACUGGCUGAUAUUCCUUUGGAGGUUUAAGUUGUAACUAGGUUAGGCGAAAUGUAGGGAAGGAGGAAAAUGUAUAGUGAGAAAUAGCAUUCUAGAAUGGGAAAAUCAAUAUCCCUAUGUUGGCGUGCAACAUUUUGUUCUCUUCUGUUUCCAUAUAUUUUCAUCGAAUUUAUCAUUCAACACGUCUUAGGUUUCCAAUUCGGAGUGCCUGGUUUUCUUGGUUCCAAGGUUUUCUGUCUAUUUAAUAAUUUCCUUUCAAGACACUUAUGUUAUGGACAUCAUUGCUGUGUUCUGGAUCCUCGAUAAUGAGUUGGAACUAUUGCAAACAGUUGUGCUUUUGAUCUUCGGUAAUUCCAAGGCAUGGAGUUCAAUUAUAAAUACUUUCACAACCAUCCAACACUCAAGUCAAAUGACAUAAAUGAGAUUUAACAAUAAUCAUUAUGAUUCUAUCAUUCUGGUUGAGCUCAAAGCUGUAGCUUAAUUUCAUGAACUCUCGUCUCUUAAACCUAAUUCAUGGGAUUCGAUUUGGUUAUGGGUGGUCCACUACAAUUUUAAUAAUAAAAAAACAAAUUAUAAUUUUUUAAUUAAAAAUAAAUAAAUUUUAAAGACCAAAUAAACAAUAAAAUAUAACAGAUUCAAUUAAAAUUUUCAAAUUAUCAUAAAUUCAAAACUUAAUUAAAUCUAGCAAAACAACAUUAUACAAAUUUCAUUUUAAAAUUUUAAGCUUGACCAUCGAUUAUAUCAGUCUUCUAACAAUUCCAUAAUUUAUUCUUCUUAUAAAAAAUUAAAAUUUUCUAAUUUAUUGUGAUAUCUCUUAAAAAAAAUCAAUUUUCAAAAUCUCUACUGUUUCGAUAGAUAUUUGUGGGACCGAAAAGACUAACUUCGAUGACGUGAUUAUGCUUCCUUCCGAUGCGAGAUCUUUAAAUAUCUUUACUGUUCGUUCUUCAAACCGUCCUAUGAUAGUACUCAUUCAGGUAUGAGAGUAUGAGUGUGAGAAUAUGAGCGUACCUUGUUUGGAGCCCUUAGUUCUUUAUUUAUAGGCUCUGAAUUGAUAUAAGAUCAAUGGAACAGAAUAAAAUAUAAACAAAUUUACCUGAUAUAUCUCUAUUGAGAUAUUAUUUGAUACGUGAUAUAUGAUAAUGUUCAUUUAUUCGCAUUUGCGACAUGAUGGGUCUCGAACCCAAUAAAGUUAUAUCAAUUUGAUAAUUCAGCCCAUUUAAUUGGUAAGCUAGACCGCUCGGUUUAGCCGGCCGUGACGUUGAUGUGUCUGGCCGUCAGACCGAGCGUCAGAGAUAUACUACCGUACACCUACUAUACCACAAAACAUACUUGACAUUAAAAAUUAUCCCCAACAAUUCUAUCAAGGACAACCUUUUCAAACAUAGUUAAGAAAUUCAAAUUUUAUAAAUAUGAAUAAACUUGUUUGUAAAGAAAUAUGCCAUAAAUAGUCCUAUGAGAGUUAGACUGAACAAGUUUUUUUUUUAAAAAAAAAAGAAAAAAAAAAUCACAUACAUCUGCAGAAUUUUAAUUUUUAUAUUUUGGAGAUUUCAGAGUUGGCUCUACAGCCAGUCUGUCGAUAAUAUUAACAUUUAAAAAUACGCAUCACAAUUUUGGGUUAUACCGUUUGAAUUGUAUAAAUAUAAAUAAUAUAUUUAUUUAAAUUAUUAACACUUAUUAAAUAAAGUUUAAUCAUAAACUAUAGUAAAACAAUUUCACAAAUAUAAAUAAAAAUUUCUUAAUUUAUUUUAUCAAAUAUAUUAAAUAAGAAAUUAAAAAUUAUAAAAUAGUCACAUAAUGAAAUAUAUUUAAAAAAUAUAUUGCCAAUUCGCUAACUUGCUUUAAACCACACUGCCUUGUUUUGUCGUUUUCCCAUAUGAAUUUCAAAUUUAAAAAUUCAAAAGAUAAACCUGCUAUUACUUAAACCAAAAAUCUAUUCCUUUAUUUAUACUUUUAUUAAUUAAAAAUUAAACCUCAUAAAAUUAUAAAUUUAAAAAUUAACAAGAAAAAAAAAUAUUAUUUCCCUUCUAGAGACAUAAGCUUUCACUAGGACGAAUAAAAAAACAGUCAUAAGCUGAAAAUUAAACUUUGAGUCAGCUUUAAACAUUAACAGUUGGAAUUCAUGCAUAUUGAACUGCAAAAUAUUGUAUUUUUCGAAACAUUUUGAAUUGAACAACUACAUGAAAUCCGGCUAAAAGUUUGGCUGAAUUUACCAAACAUCCCUUUCGUUUUUACUUUUUUUUAGAAUUUCUUAUUCUUCUUCCAUUGAUUCUUAAUUAUUUAAUGUUUACGGUAAAACAUGUUUACCUAUUCUUAAAUACAAGGAAUAUUUGUUCCUCCAUGAAAUUUGUAUUUUGUAAUAUAUAUUUGUGGUUCAACUCACUUGUCUUAUAUAUUUUUGUAUUAUCUUGAAAGUUUUAUAUUAAAUAGAAUUAGAAUUAUAAGUAUGAGUUUAAGUCUCACAUUUAAUAGAAAUGAGAAAAUAAAACAUUAUAUAAAGAUGAAAUAUUGAUUGACACAUUACUUUAAAAUUUUAAGUAAAAAGUAAUGUCGGUUAAUUCCUUAAUGAUUAGACUUAUGUUUUAUUAGUAUUGUAUCCUCUCAAAUAGGUCAAUUUUUAAAUUAUGUAGAUUUUAUUUUAUUAAAAAUUAUUACAGAAAGAUUUAUGUUUAUUAGAUAUAUUAUUUUAUUUAUUAUUAUAUUUUUUAUUAAUGUCUAGUUACACACAUAGACAUAUAUAGUUUAAGGUGAUGAAAUGUAUUAUAUAUGUGAAUGGAACCCUAACUUAUAAAUUCAUAAAUAAACUGAUUUUAUAAAAUUAAAUUAUAUUUAAAUUUCAGUCUCUUAAUUCAUUUUCUACUCUAUUCUACACAUUUCACUGUCUUAUGACCGUAUCCUGUUUCGUCUUUUCAUUUACGUCUUUAUCAUCUUAAUUUUUUUAAUUUAUAUUGCAGUAUUAAUCUAUGAUGAGUGCACAUGGGUUGGGUUUGUUGUUUCUUUGAUGAAGUCAUAGGAACCAUAAUUAUGAGCAUAUGCUAUUUUAAUUUGGAUGUGUUUCCCUGUCGUUCUGUUUUUUCUUCCACGCUUUAAGCAAAAAAGCAUUAAAGACAACGAGAUACGAUGUCAUCGUUUUAUAUAAGAAUUAAUACAGUUUUGCAGUCAAAUUCGUAUCCAUUUUUUUAAUGUUAAUUGCCCACGUAUGGUUCUUUCUUUCACUUAAUUUAUUCCAAUAAACUUGGUAAUAUAUUUUACCCCCGGCUUAUUUGGUGUAGGCUCGGAAAUUCUUUGAAGAAACGUGGGUUUAUUCAAAUAAUGAUAUAAUAUACGGUUAAAUAUGAUUUUAGUCCCUUAACUUUUAAUGAAAAUUGGAAUUAGUCUUCUCUACAACUUUGGCCUAAUUUAGUCUAACAAAUUUAGAAAUGUAUGAAUUUAGUCAUUUUAAUUAAAUUUUGUUAAUUUUAUUUGAUAUUUCAAAUACGUUUCUCAUAUGACAUUGAAGCAAAUAUGUGUCAAACAGUAUAGAAAACUCUAAUACUAUUAUGAAAUGUGCUUGAAACAUCAAAUAAACCUAACAAAAUUUCGUUAAAUUGACUAAAUUCAUACAUUGUUAAAGUUGGGGGACUAAAUUAGACAAAAAUUUUGAAGAGAAACUAAUUCCAAUUUUCACUGAAAGUUAAGGGACCAAAAACAUAUUUAACCCUAUAAUAUAUUUAGAGAUUCUAAUCAAAUUUAAAAAAAAAAAAGAAAUAAAUUACAUCAAGAAAGUCAAACACAUCACUAAUUAGGAAUCCAAUAUGUAGUUCUUUUGUUUCAGGUUAGGUCUACGGGAAUAUUAGGAACCUUUUAUUCUGUUCCCAUUAUUCAACAAAAAUCGGCUGGAAACUAUAAUUUCAUUAAAAAGUUAUUAGAAAACCGAAUUAUAUAAAUUUAUUUUUAAAGUAUAAGAACAAAAAUAUAUUAAAAUUUAAAAUAUGAAUAGAUUUUAAUUUUAUGUUCUAGUUCAAAAAUUAAAAACAUAUUUAUUUAUUUUUACUAAUUGUGGUAUAAAUUUUUAAUACUAUAUUAUUUCACUAAUUUGCACAUUCAUCGAUUGUGUGUAUAAAUUGGUAAUACUAUAUCAUUUGGCUAAUUUACACAUUCACCUUCUAAUUCGUUGACUAAUCAAAGUUAAGUAUUAUUAUAGAUAAGUCUUGAAAUUGAUCCCAUAUCACUCUUUUUCCUGUGCUAUACGAUCUUAUCGCGUAUUGAUUAAUUACACGUAUUUCUUUGAUAAUGAGAUUCCAAUUUAUCCCUUGCAUUGUUAAGUCAACACUUAUCUAUAAAUAAGGAUACCAUACUUCAACCAAUUAAUACAUAAAACAUUUUUACUAAUAAAAGAUACAUUGAAAAUAUUAAUAACUUUUUUUUUUAAGAAAAAUAUAUAUAUGUAUAUAUAUAUAUAUAUAUAUAUAUAUAUAUAUAUAUAUAUAUAUAUAUCAAUUAUCUAGUGUGUGUAAACUAAUAAAGCAUGCAUGUUAAUUACGUGACGUGCGAUUUAUAAUAUUGCUAAUAUAUUACAUGUGAAUGGCAUGCUAAAAUUUAAUUAAAACAAUUAAAAUAUACUAAAUUCAAUAUUUUGAAAAUUAAUAUCAUAAAAAAUCUGAUAAAAAUAUAAGAAAGAAACAUAUUUGUAACGGUUUAUAUAAAUUUAAAAGAUUUAGAAGUAUUAGCAAGCGUUACAUAGCAAAAUUGAAUUUGUAACAUGAGCAUUGAAGUGUAAAAUAUUAAUUUGUAUGAGCUGUUUAAGUAUAAAAUAUCAUAUAAAUUACAGUUGUAUGGUUUAAAAUUGUCAUGGAAAUUGAUUUUCUCUAUUUCUUUCUUAUAGCAUAUGGAUUCUUAUUUUUAUGUGGGUUAAAUAUGUUUUUAGUCCCUAUGCUUUGAGGCGAUUUUGGUUUUAGUCCAUUUUCAAACUAUGUUACAAUUUAGUCUUUCAACUUUAGAAAACUCUGGUUUUAGUCCUUUUGAUCAAUUUUUUUUAAUUUUAUUUGUUGUUUCAAGCACGUUUUAUUAUAGCAUUUGGAUUGUUUAUACUAUUUGACACAUUUUUACUUCAAUACUAACUGAGAAACGCGUUUGAAACAACAAAUAAAGUUUAAAAAAUUUGGUAAAAAUGACUAAAACAAUUUGAAGGACAAAAUUGUACCAUAGUUUGAAAAUGGACUAAAACCGAAAUCGCCUCAAAUAUAGGGACUAAAAACAUAUUUAACUCUUUUUAUUUUCUAUCAAAUUAUCAUUUUUAAAAAUGAAAUAUUAUUAAUUAAUGUUGGGUAUUUAUUAAACUGUACGAAUAUUUAACAAACGUUGACAAAUAAAAGCUAAUACACUUAUUUCUAAAACUGUUGUAUGUAUUCAAUAAAUGAAAGAAUUAAAAGUGUUUUUGUUUUCUCUGUUUGGUUUGUAAACUUGUUCGAUGUAUUCAAUAAAGGAAAGAAUAAAAAGUGUUUUUCUUUUUCUUUUUGGCAAAGAAGGUCGAAAGUCAAAGACCAAACAGAGCCUAAGAAUUAAAUUCCUCUAUUUGGGUGAAAAAAGUUGAGAACUGUGAAUGUAUUUAGUUGCCGUCCAGAACGAAGAAAAAAACGCAAAAAAGUUGAGUUGUUGACUAGCCAUGAUGCACCUGCACGCGUUAUUCCUUAGACCAUUAUAAUGAGUACAGUUCCAAAAUAUGCUCAUAUUUUCAAGUUAAGAUUUCAUUUCACUAACUUUAAUUUUAUUAACAAAGGAUUAAUUAACAAAACUAAAUUUAAUUAAAUUUCAAAGUAUUUGAUAAAUUUAAGUGUUUCUAAUUGAGUUACUGUUUCAAUUUUUUUUGGUUUAUUUCACAUUUAAAAUUUAACAUUUUUUAAUUAACUUUUUGUUAUUUAAUAUAUUAAUUAGUCAAUCACAUACUUAUUAUAUUGUCUCUUCAUCUUAUCUAUCUAUCUAUCUAUAUAUAUAUAUUAAAAAAUAUAAAUAUUAAAUGCUAUAAUAGUUUAUUUCUAUUAUAUAUAAUAGUAUCGUAUUAUUUAAUAGUUGAGAUCAAAUAACAUUUAAAUAUUUUUUCUUUUUUUCAAGAAUAAAUAUGUAAGAAAAAAAAUCUUAAAAUGAAAAAUAAAUAAUAUUUUAGAUAUAUGGUAAUUAAUUUUAUAAAUGAUGUUUCGAAAUUAAAACAUGUAUAGUGUAAUUGAUUGGGGGCUUCUUAAUCGUCCGGUCAAUAUUUCUAACAAAGUGAUAAAAGAUCGUUUUCAAUUUCAAAUUUCUAUGAAUCCACUUUUCAAAUAAGUCGAUUAGUGAUUCAAUGUUAAAUAUUAGCAUUAUAAAUCUAACAUAUUUAUAAAUAAAACACACUUAGUAACUUAUGGACAUAUUUGAACCUUAAUUAGGUUAAUUUUGAUUAAAAGUUUACUUUAAAACCUAUACAUAUAAAGAUAAAAUGAUAUAUAUGAUUGUAUUUAUUAUAAAUUUAAAAUUUUAUUGUGAUGAUAUAACUGACUUGAACAUUGAAAUUUGCUGAAAGUUUUGAAGCAAAAUAAUUUUAUUACAUAUACUUAAAAUGACAUUAAAAAAUUGAAAAAAAAAUGUAUGAAUGAAUAUUAAUCGUGAUUAUCAAUCCUAACCUUACUAUUUUGACAUUUUUUUUCAUCAACUCCGUCAAAAUUAACCUAUCAUACGCUCUACCUAUCACUCACAGUUUUAUAAUAACUUAUUUUAAUAAUGUUUCAAAACUAAAAACAGUAUUUAGAAAAAAAAAAAUCAAAGAUACCCUAAUUCAUUCAAAGUAUUCCGUUUGCAGCAAGAAUCCACGAAUGAAGUUUUUUAAAGGGAAAAUGAUAUUUUAACACAAUUUUGACACUGUACACGUAUUAAGAUGUGGUUGGGCGAUUUCAAAUUUUUUAAAAAUAAAUUAGUUUUUCUCUUUCAAAUAUACUCUUGUCUAAAGCUUUUUAAUUUGAAAUCGUCAAACUAUAUUUUAAAACGUCUGUGCAGUAUCAAAAAAUAUAUUAAAAUAUAUAUUUUUUUUUGGUUUAAUACCUAUUUUGGUCCCUCUUUUGGGAGGGUUUGUUCAAAGUGGUCCCUCCUUUUUUCAAAAGUUCAAUUAAGUCCUACUGUUCAGGUCCUUUUUGCUAACGGCGUUAAACGGCACAGCUGAUAGGUGGCUAAUAUUUGCUGAGGUAUAACGUUUUUCUGUGCUGGCACUGUUGUGUGUUUUAAAAAAAAUAAUUAAUUGUGACGUGGAAUUUAAUAAAAUUAAGUUUAAAUUAAAAAUUGAAUUUGUAGUUAAUUAGGAAGUAAUUAAUUAAAAAUCCCAUUAAGAUUGUUUCUUAAAAUCUAAAAUGGAAAAAAAUCCCCAAUCUUCUAAGAACCCUAGAACCACAAACCUGGGGAAGAAAAAAAAUCCCCAAUCUGAAUCUGAACCCUAAAACCAUUAAAACGUAGAACUGGUUUGAAUCUAUCACCCAUUUUUUCAGCAUCAUUUCGAAUCCAAUGUAAUAACCAUCAAUUUCUCAGAUUACGAACCACGAACCCAAGUUAGGGCAUCUAUGGUUUUGGAAUUACAUGGAAAGGUGCGUGAUGUAAGGCCAUGUCUGCAACGGUUAUUCUCCUUGCUUCCAAGAUCAAAGCAUUCAAAUGCUAUAGCAGCUGCUUUGUCGUUGCUCCAAUCUGAACCAUCUUCACCAAACUCAAGCCUUCAUGCUUACCAGAGCUCUCGAGAAAGACCCACCAUCUUCCUCUACAACAACCUCAUCUCUGCUCUAUCUUCACACAAUCCCACUCUUGCCAUUUCUCUCUUCAACGCCAUUCGCCUCCAUGGCUUGCGACCCAACUCUUACUCUUUUCCUUUUGCUCUGAAGGCCGUUGCUUCUUCACCUUCCCUCUGUCUCGGUCGCCAGAUUCAUUCUCAAGCCAUUCUUUCCGGCUUCGCCACCCAUCCCACUGUCUCACCUCCCUAACUUGGGAACAAUAACUAUCAAUUUCUCAGUUUGCAAAUCAAGAACCCUAACCUCACCCCAAUUACCACUUCUGACCCUAAAUACCCCCUAAAUCGUUUUUUUAUUUUACUCUAAUUAAUUUAAAAUACACGUCACAAUUAUAUAUAUUUAUUAAAACAAAUAAAAAUGCCACAUAAUCAGACAUUAGACACCUGACACGUCUGCCGUUACUGAAUUUAACGCCGUUAGCCAAAAGGAUCACUUUGAACAGUUUUUGCAAAAGAUAGGACUUAAGUGAACUUUUGAAAAAAGAAGAGACCACUUUGAACAAACCCUUCCAAAAGAGGGACCAAAAUAGGUAUUAAACCUAUUUUUUUUAAAGCCCAGUAUUCAGCAAACUAUCUAGGUUGGUCAGAGGAGAAGUUUUCUCCAACUAUAGUCCCUAUCACAUUUUAACUGAAAAUAAUUAUUUUAUAUUUAAAACAAUAAAUUAAAAACGUACCAGUAAUUUAAUCACAGCAGAGAAAUACUAUAUUAUUGUUUGAGUACAGAAGACGAAGUCAUCAAACAGCUUUAUUUCUGACCGCUGUGUAUUUAUUUAGUGCAACUGUUCUCUCUGACCUCUACGCCCCUUGACUUCAACUUCUUUUUUUACUCUCUUAAUUUCUUUAAUCUAAGAUUAAUUUUUAAUCAAGAUAAUUUCAAGUUUAAGUAUAUUCGAAUCAAGAAUCAUUCUAUUUCUGCAACCAUUGAUACAGUCAACUGCUUCAAAUAAGAGAUGAUUCAGUCAAAUUUUACAUAAGAGAUGCAUUCUUAAUGUUGCUCUCUUCAUGUGAAUUUUAAAGCGUUGUUCAAAAAUAAAUUAACUGAUAUUUUUUAUUUUUUUAUUUUAUUUUUAACAGAGCAUUAAUUACUUUAUUCUUAAAUUUAUCUUCAAAUGAAUCAUAUAUAUAUAUAUAUAUAUAUAUAUUUUUUUUUUUUUUUUUCAACGUAUAAAAAUAAUAUAUAUUUAUUAUUCUUGUUAAUUUAAGUAAAAAUUAAAUUGCGACCUUUUCUUGGACAGAUAUGGUAGUACCUUUUUGGGUGUUCAGUUGGGCAUCAAUCUCAUGCCAGCCAUUCUCAUUGAUUACUCAUACUCGAGUUAAAAAAAUUGGUGGGAACGAUUAAUAUUUUGUCGUUUAUUUUGUUAAAAAUAUUGAAGAAUUAUGGUUACAGUGACAUUUUAUAAAAAUUUAAGCAACAAAAAAUUGUCUAAAAGUAACAAAUUAAAAAUAAGAAUUAUGGAGGCUAGCAUAUAUUCAUCUAAUCAUAUAGAUUUUCAUAUGCAACCCAUCCAGAGAAAAAUAAAUUUAAUAUUUAAGGAAAAGAAAACUUACUCUAAAGUGACUAAAAGUGUUAUUUUAAAUAGCAUAAUAAAACGCUAGAAGCUUCUGUGCGAAUUUAUUCCAAACACUGUUAAUUAAAUUAUUAAAGAUGAAAAAUAUUUUAGAGUAAAAAAACAAAUUUUAGAUUUCAUGUUUUAUUAAAGACGAAAACAAAUUUAAAAAUAUUUUAGAGUAAAAAAACCUAUUUAAGCCUAACAUAAUCUAAAUUUUUUAAUUAAUCGACAUUUUAGUAUUAAAGGCCUAUAUUGAUUGGCCUUUUUGAGAUCUGUGAAAUAUUUAAAUUUCUAUCUUAAUGUUUUAUUUAUAAAUACUAUGAUCUUACAAUAUUUAAUUACACUUAGUAAAAUUUACUUUUAAUAAAUGUCACCUACUCCGUUCUAGCCGUUGAGAUUUAAGAUUGUUACGCGUCAUUAAGAACCAUUUAGUAAAUAUUUAAUUUUACAUUCAUUAUAUUAAAUUGAUAAUUUUUUUAAACUUAUAAAACAACGAUUAAAAAAAUAUAUUGAGAUUUAAUUACAAUUUCCUAAUUUUAUAAUAGUUUUCAUUAUGCUUUUUUGUCUUAUUUGAAUUGAAUAGGGCAAUUGGUUUUUCAUCAUAAAAAUAUAAAGAACAGAGAAAAAGAACGCGUGAAAAGGGAUAGCAAAAAAAGAAGAGAAAGAAAAAUUAAAGCAAAGAGAUAUUUCUUUCAAGGAAAAACUUCUUUUAACAACACUCUUUUAACAAUUUUUGACAACGCAUACGUGACAGGUGGUUGUGAUUGAUCUGUUUUAAAUAAUUUUUAAACAUAAAUUCAAAUAGACCAAUAAAAUAAUAACACGUAUCCCGUUAUAAAAAAAAUUGUGAAAAAGUAUUGUCAAAAUAUCACUAUCCUUUCUUUUAAUAGAAGAUUCGUCCAUCCAUGUUAUUCUUUUCUAAGCUCACAUUUCAAACGUUGAUUUAUAUGAUGGGUAUUUAUAAAUUGUUCGGAAUGUGGAAUUAUAGAAAGAAAUUAUAUUAUAUUAGUUAAAUGUAUUUUAAUUUCAAAAGAAGUAAUUUAUCUUAUUUACAAUACAAUAAAAAAACAUUUAAAUUUUUUCAAAAUAAAUUACUACACUUUUUACAAGAAAAAUUCUUAAAUCUCAAAAGAAAAAAAAAAUCAUUAAAAUAUCAAUUUUAAUAUGCAAGAUAACAUCUCAUGUUAAUAAUAUAAAAUUAAUAAAAUAAAGGGUUAAAUAUGUUUUUAGUUUUUGGGACGAUUUUGGUUUUAGUCUCUCUUUCAAACUAGGUACAAUUUAGUCUUUCAACUUUAGAAAACUCUGGUUUUAGUCCUUUUUACCAAAUUUUGUUAACUUUAUUUGUUGUUUCAAACACGUUUCAUUAUAGCAUUUGGAUUGCUUACACUGUUUGACACUUUUGCUUCAAUGUUAACUGCGAAACAUUUGGAUUUUUUACACUGUUUGACACAUUUUUGCUUCAAUGUUAACUGAGAAACGCGUAAAAUUUGGUAAAAAGGAUUAAAACCAGAGUUUUAUGACUAAAUUGUACCUUAGUUUGAAAAAGAGAUUAAAACUAAAAUCGCCCCAAAAUAUACGGACUAAAAACAUAUUUAACCCUAAAAUAAAACAUCUCAUUACAAUAUUCAAAACAAAUAAUUUAUUAUUUAGAAAUUUGUUAUUACAAUUAUUCCAAAAUAUAAUUGUAGAAAAAAAAUAUAUAAAGAUAUAAAGGUUCAAAAAACUAUGUUACAACAAAAAAAUUUAGAAUAUUUUUUAGGAUUUUAGGAAGAAGGAAAAAUAACUUAAAAUGAGACUAUAAUAACAUGUUUCUUCCAAUUGGUUCAUAUUGUUCUAAUGAAUCCCACAUAAAUCUAUACAUCGUCACACAAGUAUUUAAAAAUACAAAAUGACAACACGUACAAAUUAUCUGUGCAAAACUUAUUUUUUUUAUAUAUUCGAAUUAAAGAUGAUGGAAUGAAUAACCAAUACGAAAAAAAUAUAGAAAAGGUUAUAUACUAAAUAAGGAGCAAAUGUUAUAGUUGUAAAUAAUCAAAUAUGUAAAAAUCUAAUGAGAAAAGUUGUUAUCACUACAAACUUCUAAUUCAAGCUGAUUGGUCUAAGUAAAAAACUAUGUGUCUAGAAUUCGCUAUUAAAAUUGAAGCUAACGUGAAAUCUUCACUUUACAAAUUAGAUACAAUUAUAUUUUUAAAAUACUUAAAAGAUAUAUUUACUAUAUAUUAACUUAUUGUUUAAUAUAUUAUAUAGUAUAGUAAUUGAUUAUCUAGUAUAUAAAAAAUAGAAAAAUAAUAUUUUAUAAUAUAAUCAUUAACAAAAUUUAUUUAAUAUCUUUAUAUCUGUUUAUCCGUAACUUCAGAACCUCAUAAAUACAGUAUUUUACUAAAAGAGCGCUUAUUCAAUUUUCAUACUCCAUCUUCUUAUAACACUCAAUUUUCAUUAAAAGACAACAUCGUGACUCUAGAAAGCUUUAUAAUUUACUUUGAAGAGACCUCAAUCAAAUUCGGCAAGAAAAAUUAUUGUUGUUAUUAUUAUUAUUUAUAUUGUUAUUAUGUGAAGUGGACUUUAAUUCAGUAACGUUUCAUUUCUUAGAAACUAUUCCGAAGAGUUUAUAGUUGGAUAGGCUCAGUAAUGAAGUUUUGGCGUGUAAAAACAAUCAUGGGAAAGGAAUGGUUUUUCUUUCUUAAAAGAAAAUGAUAUUUUAACACUAUUUUUUGACAUCAUUUUGAUACUGCACACGUGUCAAAAUGUGGUUGGACGAUUUCAAAUUAAAAAAACAAACUUUGGUUUUUCUCUUUCAAAUAUAUCCUUGUCUCAACUUUUUUAAUUUGAAAUCAUCCAAUCAUAUUUUGAUACGUGUGCAGUGUCAAAAUAGUAUAAAAAAUGGUGUUAAAAUAUCAUUUUCCUUUCUUAAAACACUGUUACUCGUUUCUGAAGUUGGACGAAUUUUAAAAAGGAAAAUAAAAGAUCUGUGUGCAAAACUGAAAAUUUGUAGGUGUUGGUGAACGCGGAAACAAUUUUGGUUUGGAAAUAAGUGCUUAAUUUUGUUGUGAUUGUGUGAGCAGCAAGAAAGGACAAUUUAAUUUGAGGUUGAAAUAUAGUAAUUCAUGAUUGCAAUGAGGUAAGCCUCUGGUGGCUAAUUGAUGAAUCUUGUUGGCAUCUUCGUGGAACACAAGAGCAGGAGGAGUGUAUUAACAUUGCAACAUUGUUACCUUACCGCGUAUAAAAAAUCCAUCCAACGCAAGCUAUUACGCUUUCAGUCUCAUCAACAGAAAAGUCAACCUGAUUAGUCAAACGCUCGUCUAUUUAAACCCCUCACGCUUCUCACACCCACAAACUAAACUGCUCCAUCAUUCUCUCUCUCUCUUCUUCUCCUCUGCAACAACUCAGUUCAAGACUGACCUUGUGAAGAAACCAACACACGUUAACUGAACUUAAAGCCAUUAAUCGUCAUCAAUUCAUCAUUCACACACAACAAAAUGCCGAGAAAAGGAAUGAGAAGCAUUUUCUUCAGGCCUUCAUCUUCUCCUUCAUCCUCCACCUCAUCACAACCACCUCCCUCCCCUCUCCGCACAUUUUCAGACUCCUUAAUGGAACAGAACAUACAAAUCGCAGAGGCUCUCGUGACCAAAUGGGACGAUUCCAAACUCGGAACGCCGCUUUUCAGCGGCACGCGCCAGGAAGCCAGAAAGUACCUUGACGCUGUAAAGGGACUACAAUCCGCUAUGCAGUACUUCGUCGCACAGGAUUCCACCUCCGCCACUCUUGUGCGCGCUCAGUUCCUCAUGCAGCUCGCCAUGAAGACGCUUCAGAGAGAGUUUUACCAGAUUCUUUCCUCCAACAGAGACCACCUGGAUCCUGAAACUGUCUCCGCGCGCUCCUCCAUUGAUCUCCGCAGCAGCGUCUCUGAGUACGUUUCCGAUUAUGACGACGAAAUCACAGCCUCCGAGGAUGACUUCCGCAUCUCCGAGACCGAGCGUGUGUCAAUGCUCGCCAUGGAGGAUUUGAAAGCCAUUGCGGAUUGCAUGAUUUCCUCCGGCUACGGGAAAGAGUGCGUCAGCGUUUACAUCCUCAUGAGAAAAUCUAUUGUCGACGAAGCGCUGUACCAUCUCGGAGUGGAAAAAUUAAGCCUCGCUCGGGUUCAGAAACUAGACUGGGAGGUUCUCGAGUUGAAGAUCAAGAAAUGGUUGAACGCUGUUAAAGUCGCCGUUGGAACUCUCUUCCACGGCGAGAGAAUCCUCGCUGACCACGUCUUCUCCUCGAAUCCCGAAAAGAGGAUCUCGGAAUCCUGUUUCGCUGAAAUCACCAAAGACGGCGCCGUUUCGCUGUUCGGAUUCCCCGAAAUGGUGGCGAAGUGCAAGAAAUCGCCGGAGAAAAUGUUCAGGACGUUGGAUUUAUACGAAGCGAUCUCUGACCGGUGGACUCGGAUCGAAUCCAUAUUCUCUUUCGAAUCCACGUCUGCCAUUCGCUUACAGGCCAUUACGUCCAUGGUGAAACUCGGAGAAGCCGUUAGAACGAUGCUAACGGACUUCGAAACCGCGAUUCAGAAGGACUCCUCCAAGACAACGGUCCCUGGCGGUGGGGUCCACCCUCUCACGCGCUACGUGAUGAACUACCUAACUUUCCUCGCCGAUUACAGCGGGGUGUUGGUUGAUAUAAUCCCUGAUUUGCCGCAAUCGCCGUUGCCGGAGUCUUACUACCGUAGCCCGAUGCGCGACGAAAACCCGCCAGCGUCGGAGUUAUCCGAGAAAAUCGCGUGGCUUAUCCUCGUUGUGCUGUGCAAGCUCGACGGCAAAGCGGAAUUCUACAAGAGCGUAGAGCUUUCAUACCUGUUUCUGGCUAACAACAUGCAAUACGUCGUGAGUAAGGUGCGUAGAUCGAACCUGGGGUUCCUUCUCGGAGAGGAGUGGUUGGCGAAGCACGAAUCGAAGGUUACUGAGUACGCGUCCAAGUACGAGCGCGUCGGGUGGAGCAAGGUGUUCGCGUCGUUACCGGAAAAUCCAGCGGCGGAGGUGAAGGUGGAGCAGGCAAGGACCCACUUCAUGAAGUUCGACGCUGCGUUUCAUGAAACGUGCAGAAAACAGUCGUCGUGGGUGGUAUCCGACCCGAAACUGAGAGACGAAAUCAAAGGCUCGAUAGGUUCGAAGCUGAUGCAAAAGUACAGCGAAUUUUACGAGAAGAAUCGGGUCGGGUCAAAGUCCGUUCGGUUUAUUUUGCCCGAAGAUAUUGGGAAAAAUUUGUCCAACAUUUUGUGCGGGAAUGGAGAUUUGGACAGUGUCUCCUCACAUUCUUCGUCAACAACGUCGUCUUCUCAUCGCUCUAGUCGGCGGUGAACUUAAAAUUGCCGUCGAUAACUGACGACGAUAUAUUCCAUAAUUUUUUAUUAUUCUUAUUUGUAAUUUAAGUUAAAUAUUAAAAAAACUGUCCUGAAAGAUAAAAUAGAAUGAAGACAAGAUAGUGAAUGUUCCUAUCUGUAACGUGUCCAUGGACGCUACACUUUUUUUUUUUCUUUUUCUUUUGAUGAUGGUACAUUAAUAUUAUACUUUUUUUCUUAUUCAAUUGCUUUACUUUAUAUUAUUCUUAAAAAAUAUAUUAUUAUUAUUUUAAGGUGGCUAAAUAGAUGUUGAAACAUCAAGAUCUUAUAACAUCAAGAGAGAAAAUGAACCCUAAUUACAAAACUCGCAUUAAAAUAUAGGUACUUCAUAGUUGGUAGUAUGUAUCAGUCGUAGGAUGAGGUAUCGAGUUUUGAAAAGGAAUAAACUUAUUAUAGGACUUUUAGCUACUUAUUAAUUAAUAUGCAAAGAUAACAAAGCAACUAAAUAAAAUUUAUAAAAUACAUCUCUCACUACAAACAUAUAAACUUAAUUCUAAAUGCUUAAGCUAAAAAGCUGGAAAUUAUAACGAAAUACUUUUUGGCUAGAAGAAUUUCAUACUAUUAUUACGUAAAGGGCCAUAUAAAUAUAAAGUUCUUAUCUGAAUUAUUUUACCUUGCUCAAGGUUUCACUCUCUUGAAGCCUAGAUUCAGAUUAACCAAAUUAGCUUUGUGGUUGGACCAAUGAAUAUACAUGGAGCAUUGGGCUCAAUCACAAUCAUUUUUUGUUCCAAUGGAGCAAUUUAAAACAUUUCAUUAAACUAAAUAAGUUUCAAAUUUUGUUUUAGUUUUAUAAAAUAAGUAUGUCAAGACAAACAAAUACCAUAAUUAAAGAAAGUUGAAGAAAAAUUACUAAACGGGCUGGCCAUUACUUUUGGAGUCUUUCUUUUUUCAUCUCCAAACGUUUCUUUCUAGAUUCUCGAAUUUUAAAAAUAACGCGUAACAAAAUGAGAUUUGUAAGUAAUAAUUACUGUAUUUCUAUAUCUUUAACAAAUUUCAAAAUCGAUAACUUUCAAUAGAUUUUAAAAUCUAUUGAAUUUUUUUUUGAAGAUUUAGACUAAUAUUAACAUUCGUUAAUAUUUUCAACAAAUUCGUUAAAAUUUUAAAAAAACAUUUUAAACAAAUUUCAAAAUAUAUUAAACACAAAAGUGGAAGUAUAUGAUUAUUUUAACUGUAGGGAGAGAAAAAUUUUAAAAAAGUUAUUUUAAGAUUUUAUCAUACGGAAGAUAGUUUUGAAAUUUUAAAAAAGUUUAGAAGUGGAGGGAGAAAUGAUUGGAAUUGCAGGGAGAAGCUUUUUAUUUUUGCAGUAUGAUGGACCAUGGCUGGAAUAGAUUUUUCGUGUCCGUUUAAAAUGCAUGUUUGGGCUUCCAGAUUGUUUAUUCAAGGGGUUGUUUCCUUCAUCUCUCUUUUCUCUUCUACCCUUUAAUUUAUUUUUCUAUUCUUAUUUUAUCCAAGUUUAUUUUUAAGGUUAAACUUUUAUACAAAAAUCUCCUUAAACGGAUACGAAGAUCCGUAUGGAUGUCAACAUCCGUUUAAGAUAAAAACAGAUGUCAACAUCCGUUUAAGGUAAAAACGAAUGUUAACAUCCGUUUAAGGUAAAAAAAGAUGUCACCAUCCGUUUAAGGUAAAAACGAAUGUCACCAUCCGUUUAAGGUAAAAUCGGAUAUUGAUGUCAACAUUUGUUUAAGGUAAAAACGGAUGUCCACCACAUCUCCAACCUCGGCAGCCGCGCUGUUGAGUCCCUGUUCCGCACCAGGCCUAUUGUCGAGAUCCGGAAGACUGAGGCAGCGACGCGAAGGCAGAUCAGAGGAGGUCAGGCAAUUGGUCGGCAAUAGGUACCGCGAGCUGAUCGACUUCGUCGAAUCGUCCCAUGAAGCCCUCCUGCAAUGACAUCUCUAGCAACAUCAUCGUCGUGCACGAUCGCAUCCGCUCCCUCUCCCUCUCCCAAUCCCAGUCCUAAGCCUGGACCUACGGCGCCGCGUUAAGUACCUCACCGACACGCCCGAGAACAUCUAGGGUUGCCUCGACGAAGGGAUGUUUCUGGAUGCCGCGUCGCGCUAUGUGCGUGCCAAAAACGUGCACCAUCACUUGUUCGUCGAUUCUGAUGACUAGAAGAAGAAGUUCCUCUCCAAUUUCGCCAUGCUCCAACACCAGUGGCAGAUCUUUGAUAGCUUUAGGGCACAGAUAUGCCAGCGCAACCACGAUUGGUUGCUCGAUCCAGGUGGUUCUCUCUGUGCACCUCCAUUCUAACCUCGCACCCAAUUAGUGCUUUUGCGAGAAAAACAUGCUCCCCGUCGAAGUCAUCGACAACGGAUUCGCCAACCUCGUUAUCGACUGUCCCAACUUGCGUCGCCUCCAAGUCAUUGCCGCCAGCUAGAUGGGGCUGCUGAGCAUCGCGGAGGAGUGUCUCUCAAACUACAAUACUGAUUCAAAAGCUUGGUGGAGGUGGGGUGAGGGAGGUGGGCUGGGAGCAUAGUGUAAAAUAGGGAUGAGGGUUAAAAGUUAAAAAGGGUAAAAAAGGUAAAAAAAAAGUUAUUUUUUUAAUUAAAAAAAUUAAAAAAAAUUGAGGAGGUGGAGGAAGGAAAUGAGGAGAUAGAUGAAGCAACACCCUUCUUCAAGUAUUCGGCCCAUCACACAACCAUUAAAUUGGGCCAGGACUCUUUUCUAGCUUCCUCCUGUAUACGUUGUGAAUGUUGGAAUGAAUUUCACUUUAUUUCAUUAAUAGUUUCAUAUUUUCAUUAUCGCUUAUUUGGUUUCAUUCUUUUAAAAUUUUUUAGUUAUGAUGGUAAUAUUUUUAUUUAACAAUGAAGAACAUACAAUUUAAUGGUUACGCAAAAACUAUCUAGAGUUGAUGGAAAUUGACUUGUUAUAUAAAAUACUGGUGAAAAUGCAUGCAUUUAGAUAUAUAUGUUUAUUUUACUUAUCAUAAUAAAAAAUAAUAAAAUAUUAAUAUUAUUAUUAUUAUUAUUAUAAUUUUGAAGCUAAAUAUAAAUAAUUAUAAUUUUAUCAUAAAUAAAUUUCAUUUAUUUUAUAGGUAUUUUUUUAAGUAAAAUAAUAAUGAAAAUUUUAAAAAUGUGGUCAAAUUGAAAAAACAGUUAAAUUUUAGAAAACAGUAAAAUUGAUAAAUAAUUAUUUUAAUUUAUAAAAGCUUUUAUUUAAAAAAUAAAUUAUAAAAAUAAUUUAGACACCAAAAAAGAAAUUUCUUUUAUACGUGUAGAUUAGUCGAAAAAUCAAUGACCAUUGUUUAAAUAGUUACACAUAAUAACCUAUUUAAUAUAUCGGAAUACCUUUGUUAAAAUAAAGCCAUAAGGUAACAGUUCCAAAAUAUUAGUUAUUUACUAAAAACAUAAAAAUGUCAACAAUGAGGUUGAUCCCUUUGUUUGUAUAAUUUUUGUUUAAUAUAAAAAAGUUUAUAUAAAUAUCGAAUUUCGACAGUGAUAAAAUAAUUCAUCAUACCAACAUUUCACGUAUUGAUAAUACAUAUAUUCAUUUUCAUAUCAAUAGAAUUAUAUGAUAGACUAUAGUAUGUCUUAUUAGUACCGUAAAUGUUGGUUCCCUUAUACUAAUAUUUUAUUUUUCAUAAAAAAUAUUAUUCUAUUGAAGAGAAAAAGAAAAUAUUGCAAAUAAUCUUGGCGUAGUGUGGUAUGUAUUAACAGCAAAAUUUAAACACAAGAUAUUCUCUACUCACAGUUGAUCGAAAAUAAUAAUGUUGCGUGUUUUAUCUUAUUUAAUAAAUAUAUUUAUAGAAGUGUUUAGAAGUUAUAUUAGUUUGAAGUCAUAUGAGAAAAUAAAAUUUAAAAUAAAUUAUAUUUGAUCCAUUGUAAUAUUUUAUUUUAUAGAAUAAAACUAAUAAAAUACGAUAUUUAAUAAUUGUUAAUAGUUUUUUAUUGUUUAAAAGUUUAAGUCUAAGAUAAUUUAUAUACUUUUUCUUUAUUUCACCAUUCAAAACGUUUUUCAAAGACAAAAUUGUGACGGAUAAAACUUCAAAAUAGACAAUAUCUCAUAUGUAUGAUGAUUACCUUGACGAAGUUACUUGAUGGACUGUGAUCAAAAUAUUGACGUGGAGUCGAUAACAUAACUUUUUGUCCCUUAAGUCUUUCAUUAGGAAUGACCAAUCAUUCCUCUUAGACCUCAAUUAGGGGUUUAUGUUCAUUGCAUAGCCAAUAAUCUCACUUUUGUAGAAUCAUUGUAGUCCACGCCCAAUAGUCUCAUUGGAUUUCACCAUAUUACUCACAAAGUUAAUCCCUUAUUAUAAAAAAUUCAAUUUGAUUGGACAGUUAACAAAGCGGGAAUCCUAAGAUGAUGCUGACUAGAAAAAUUAGGUGGUGCUUAACACUUGAAAAGUGUCGCCUGACGCAUGACCCCAUGAACCCACUAAUUCAAGUGUGUCUGACGGUCUAAAAGUGUUGUCCAACGCCCCUGAGUGAGUGGCCACAGUCUUUGUCGUGCUCGAUGACACUGCAAUAAUGGUAUAUCAACUCCUAAGACUAUCUCCAUGAGCUUUGAUUGAACAAUUUGACUCCUCUUGAGUUAAUCCCCACUUAAUAAACUUUCAAACACUUCAAAUUUCAUAUUUUUAACUCGAGUCAAGUCAGAUUACUCAAAUAAAGAAUCUUAGAGACAUUAAACUCACAGAAAAACUAUAAAACUUAUGCAUUUGACUACACAAUUGAUACAAAAAAAUACAUAUAAAAUGGAUUAAAUUAAAGUACAAUAUAACAUUAAAUAACAGUCAAGCAUAUAUACAUAUAAUUAACAAAACAAUUUAACUUCAAAUAAUAAAAUUGACCUCCCUCACAUGUGAAAACAACCCUUAACAAUUUUAACAUUUUAAAACACCUUUCGCUUCACAUGAUGUUUUAUCUGCACAUAAGGACAUAAUAAGAACGAUCAGAAUCUAUCAUAAGGAUUACUGAUCAACAAAGAGUUGUAUUGAUGAUUCAAAUAGCACAUGCAAACAAGAAAGUUCUUCAUCCAAGAUGAAAACAUAUUAGUCAUAAAAAAUGAAAAAAGCAAAGAAUUACUUGAUAAAAUUAAAAAACUUGCGGUGAAGAUCACUUCAACCGUAAGACAAACGGAGGGUGACAAUUUCUAUAAAAAAGUAAAAAAAAUAUCUAAAAAAGUGGUUUAUAAAUAAAUAAUAUUUUUUAAAAUAAUAAAACUCGUUUAUAAAAUUUUUUAUUUAUAUGAUUUCUUUUAUAUUAAAAUAAUUAAGCCUUACUACUUUGAAACUAUUUUCAAUUUUCAAAUAUUAUUUUCUACGUACUCACGAUAUUCAUUAAGAUAUUAAAAAAAUAUAAGAUAUUUAAUUCUUUAUUGCGGGAUUAAAAUAUUUCUAAUUUUUAAGACAAAAUAGGUUCACCUUUAAAUAUUUAGUUUAAUUAUUUUAUUUGAAAUAUAUAUUUUUUUAUAAUUAUCAUCGAAGCUAGCUGAACGUGUUUGACCAGUGCUAGGGAAGAUGAAAAAAGGAUCGCCAGAAAAGUGGGACGACGACUGUGAGCGGACGUUCCAGGACAUUCAAACCAUCCUAAUGAAUCCUCCGUUCAUGAAUCGACCGACACCUGGGAAGGAGUUAUAAGUUUACUUGGGAGCCUCUGAUACGACUGUUAGCGUCGUCUUUGAUUUAAAAUAUUUUAAAAUAGUUGUCCGAUGAUAAGAUUAUUGCGUAAAAAAAAUUAAUUCCGAACAUUAGUUAUAAUUAUUUUUAUAAUAUUCAAACUAAAAAGAAAUCAACGGCUAAAUUAAAUUAGUGGAUCUGUCUAUAUUUAUUUAAGAAUAUUUUGUUGAAUCAAUUUAUUUGAUGUAUUUAUUCAAAGUGAAUUGUCUCUAUUUUCUUUCCACAUAGAAAUGUUCAUUUAUUUACUAAACAUUAUUAUAAAUAUAAUAAUUAAAAAUAAAAAAUUUCACUCUAAAUAAUAUAACAAACCAAUAAAUUAAUAAAUUAAAUAUUCAAACAAUUUAAACAUUAUUAAAUAAAAUUAUUAUAAUAUUUAAAGAGAUUAAAUUGUCAACUUCUAUAAUUACGAGUAUUAAAUAGUUAUAAUAAAAGAAUAUGAAAAAAACAGUUAAAAAUUAAUAAAAGAUUGUUAUUAAUAUAUUAUAGAUAAAUUUAUAUUCAAUCUAACUCAAACUUAUUUAAUUUACUGAGUUAAAGUAUUAGAUUUCAUUUAAUCUAAUUUUUUUAAACUUAAUUUACCGUCAAAUCUAUAAUAAAUCAGAUUGAUUCACGAGUUAGAAUUUAUUUAUGUGUAUGCUUUUUAAUUUUUGAAUUUAUCAGCUGAAUAUAAAGUAAUAUAACAGACAAACCAAAUCAUAUUUAUGAUUUUAUAGUUUAAUUAAUUUUAACAAUUUAGAAAGAAUAAAACGAGCACUAUAUACGUAGCUAGUUGAGCUUAGCAAAAUCUCUAUUCAUAAUCCCAUUUUUAUAUUUAAUACUGAAAUUAAAACAUCAAUUAAGAAAAAACAAUAAAAAAAACUUGGAUCAACAAUUUGUCGGUCUCACUUUUCCAAUUUUAAAUUAUUUUCUUUUAUUUUCCUAAUUAAAAAUAAUUAUUUCUUGAAAAUUCACUAAAAUAAUUGGUUACGACUGUAUAAAGAAGUUAUAUUUUCAAAAUUGAUUAUUUUAUUUUCAUAUUAAAUUACAAUUUUAAAUUAAAAAAGAUAAUAUGUCAUGCUUUCAAACAAUUUUAAUGAAAAUUAAAAAAAAAAAGUUGUGCUUAUAGAAAAUGAGGUUAAUGUAAAUUUAAAAAAUGUUAAACUUUUACUUAUAAACAUAAUAUCACUUUUUUUUAAAAGAAACUAAAUCAUACUUCACAAUUCUAUUUUACAAGUCAUUAUUCCAAAUCACUAGUUAAUUAUUUACAUAGUAUUUUUUUUAUAUAAAAAAAAUCGAAAUUAAUAAUCUUUUAUGUAAAAUUGGAGAUUUUUUGUGAUUGUUGGAUAUUUUUCUGCAAAAGGAAAUAAAUGCAAUUCACGGACACCUCUUCUUUAAUACUCGUCAAGUUCCUUUCGUAUUAAAACUCAAAAGCUCUCUCUUUGUUUCUUCUUCAUCCCACAGCUGUCACCAUUUCUUACAUACACUCAAUUUCUUUAUAUUAAUAUCUUCAAAAAUCUUUUAAUAUUUAUAAACUAUUUUUAUCUAAGCUUUAAACCUAGUUUAACUUUACAAAAUCAAUUUAUAUAAUAAAAUUUUAAUUUAUAAUUCUGAUAUUAUAUUAAAAAAUAAAUUCUUAACUUAGUUUAAUUCUAUAAAAUUAAUUUAUAAAAUAAAAUUUAUAUUCAUCAAAUAUAUAACUUAAAUUAAUUUUACCUUUUUUCAAAUAAAUAUUUAAAUAAUUUUGUUGACAUUGAAUAAACUUGUUCCUGUCAUUAAUAUAAUCAUAAAUUUGAAUCACUGAAAGAACGUGAAACCAAUAUGAGAAUUAGUUGAAAAUAUCUACAAACUUUCAUCCAAUAAUUCGGCUGUAUCAUUGAAGCCAUAAUCUAAUAAUGAACUUACCAAACAGUGCUUACUGUAUAUACAAAAAAGUGCUUUUUUCGGCUCUUCUAAUAAGUUUUUCAACUAAUAAUAAGGACUUUCCGGAAUAGUGUAAGGGAGAAUCUCACUGGCAUAAAUCUUUCUCAUAACUAUACAAUACAAUAUUUUUCAAAUAAUUAUUAAUACGAGGAAGAAAAAUCAGUGUAAUAAUUUCUAAGAAAGGUUACGUGGGAAUAAAAUAUAAAGAAAUUAUUUCAUGAACUUUAAAAAUAAGUUCUUUCAGAAUAUUUUUGACAAACAUUUUAAUAUCAUCUACGUAUCAUUUUGUGUUUGUUCCAAAAUUAUUCCAUAAUCAAUAAUAAUAAUAAUAAUAAAUACCAACUUAAAUUAAUCAAAGAGUGGCACGAUGUUAAAAUAUUGUAAAAAAAUGUUGUUAAGGUAUAAUUAUCGUUAAAAAUAAUUAAUGAAACUCUAGUUUGUAAAUUCAUGUUUGUUUGUAGUAGUUAGCAUUAAAGAAAAAGAUAAUGAUAUUUUGACAACUCUUUUUAACAAUUUUUUGAUAACAGAAUAUGUAUCAUCAUUUUAUUAUUCUGUUUGAAUUUAUUUUUAAAAAUUUAUUUGAAAUGUAUCAAUCAUAAACUGUCACGUUAUCAAAAAAUUAUAAAAAAAAAAUUGUUAAAAGAGAUUUUUUUUUUUCCUAAAGAAAAGAAAAAGGUUCCGUGUCAGUCCCCAUAAGCCUCUCCACGAAUUUAAACUCGUAGGACUUUAAAGUACACACGUGAAACAAGACAAAAAAAGAGACUUUCCUAUAAAUUAAAAUUUGGAAAAAUAUUAAUUGCAUCAACUUUUCAAUAAAGAAAAAAUCUAUUUUUAAUUUACAAGUGAAACUUAAGUUGAAAAAUUAUUUUCACAUUUGUAAAAGAUUUUGAAAAGUUUAUCAAAACAUGUCCUUGUACACUAAGUCAGAUUAAACAAUUAUGCAAUAAGAACUUUAUUAUAAAUAAUACAGUUUUUAUAAAAUAAAAGAUUUAUAAAUUAAAAGUUUUGGGUUGAAAAAUAUAGUAAUUUUUAUUAGACUCAUGUUUUAUUAAUGUUGAACUUUUUCGAUCGAAAGAAGUAUAUAAAAAAUCUAAUUCGUCUUGUAAAAUUAACUUAUAAAUUAGUUUAUCUUAAUUUAAAAUAAAACUUGUAAUAAUUAAUAUAAUAAGAUGGUUCUUUUUCUUAUGAAUAAUGGUAGAGUAUGAUAUAUUUAUAUUGUAUCGUGAUUAUUGAUGACGGUGCUUGUAGGAGUGUAGAGAAAACCUAUUAGUCGUCAUUUAUUUACUAUCAUUUAUAACUAUCUUUAAAUUUUUGGUAUGCUUUGUUACUAACUAAGUGCAUUAUCUUCUUUAUGUUGACCAAUAUCAACCAUGCAAGUCCAUUUCAACUAUAAAUAUAUGAUUUCAAAGUCCUAUAUACCACAUGAUAUUAGAACAAGAGAAAGACAUCAAUAAAGAUUCUUCUCACUUCUAUUCAAACCCCCUAUCAUGCAUCUACCAUUAUUGUUAUGCUGUGACUGUGUCAACUCAAUAAUUCCAAUGGAAAUCUAUACCAUAAAUUAGAUAUAAAUCACAAAAUAAUUAAAACCCUUUAUUUUUAUGAGUUUUUUCAACUAUAUAUAUAUUACACAAAUUGCUAACUUUGAGUUAAUGCGAUAUUCAUUCCAAUGUGGUUACUAUUAGGCUAGUGUUGUGAGACUUUCGAAUUUAACAGAUCAGAGUUUCUUGUAGAGAAUAUUUUCAAGAGUAGUAUCGAAAAAUUGAUUUUAAAUUUAAUUUAAUUUUACAAAAUUUAUUUAUAAUAAAAUAAUAUUUAUAUGGGUUAAAUAUGUUUUUAGUCCCUAUAUUUUGGGCGAUUUUGGUUUUAGUUCAUCCUUUAAACUAAGGUACAAUUUAGUCCUUCAACUUUAGAAAACUCUGGUUUUAGUUUUUUUUACCAAAUUUUUUUAACUUUAUUUGUUGUUUCAAACGCGUUUCUCAGUUAACAUUGAAGCAAUUGAAACAACAAAUAAAGUUAAAAAAAUUUGGUAAAAAUGACUAAAACCAGAGUUUUCUAAAGUUGAAGGACUAAAUUGUACCUUAGUUUAAAGGAUGAACUAAAACCAAAAUCGCCCCAAAAUAUAGGGACUAAAAACAUAUUUAACCCUAUUUAUAUUUAUCUAUAUAUUAUAUAAAUUCUUUUCAUCUCUAGUAGAUGAGUCAAUCAGUAACAAAUUUCAAAACGAAAACAAACUGAGAGUAAAGAGAAAAGAACAUAGACGGAGAUUGACGUUUACGUAUAACUAAAUCACGCCUUUUCCCCAUUGAAGAAAGAAAAAGUCAAUGAAAAUUAACUUGGGUCAUGCAUGUUGAAGUCUAAAGGCAAAACUUUGCAACUUGUUCUUAUCCACUCGUGAAACUAUUCAUGAUAAAUCAUGCUCAAGCAAACCAGCUAUAUUCAUAAUAUAUAUAUAUAUAUAUAUAUAUAUAUAUAUAUAUAUAUAUAUUAUAUUCAAUUAUUUUUCUAUCUUUUCUAAUAUUCAUAAUUUUAACCUGCCUUUAUUAUUUUACUUUUAUUACUUUAUCACAUUUUGAAAUUCAUCGUAUUACAUGGUGAAUGCAAUGAAUAAUUGAGUAGACAUUUUCAAAUAUUCUAAACAUUGACUUCAAUGGAACCUAUACCUUACGAGUAUAACUGUGUAUAAGGUCCACAAAAGCUUUGUAAUCUGAUUUUGAACCUACAUAUUAAUCUGUCACUAUAUGUGUGUUGACAGAUAGCUCAACCCAAUCUAUAUUUUUUAACAUAUAAUUAUUUUAACAUAUUUUUUAUUUUUAUUUUACAUUUAUUUUUAAAUACUUUCUACAAAAUGUGAUUUUUUUUUUAAUUCUUUUGCUACAUAUCAUCGGAAAAGAUUUGGAUGAUCUAGAGGAAUGUAAAAUUUUUAGAUGAUAUAAUUUUAAAUUUAGUUAAUAUGACUAUCCAUGACUGUUAAUAUAGUUGUAUUUUGAUCUUCUUUCACAUUUAGGUCAUAAUUAACAUGCAGAAUUAUGGUAUAAUGAUAAUUAAUAUAUACAGUUACAUAAGCAGGGCAGCUGAUGAGUAUUUAUUAUCAUAAAAAUAUUUGAACUAUUUGUGUUUGAAGAAAACAAUAACAUCAUUUUCCUUGUGUGAAUAGAAAACACAUGCAAAUGUUGGUAACAGAAAAUGACUUGGCUGAAACACCAACCAAAUUUAAGGUUGUGGAUCCCAGAUUCAUGUUAACCAACAUAUGUAUUGUCAGUGCUUCAAGUUGAGCAUUAUGCAAUUCUCCAUGUGCUCACAUUCAUUCUAAAUCCAGCCUUUUCAUUCUGUAAUUCAACAACUUGCAGUUAUUAGCUUUUACCCAGUGAUCAUGCAUGCCUUCUCUUUCAUCCUUAUUCUGUUGUUACAAUGAAAGUCUUAUAAUAUUUAGAAACCAAAAUGUUUGGUAGUUGUAUAAAUACUUUCACAAAACUGGAAACAUUCACAAGAGACAAAACACAAAAUCAUAUAUAUUUCAAAACCUAGGUGUGUCCAAUGUAAUGAAAUUAUACAAAUUGGCUGAGACCUGUAUAUACGAUGUAUCAUUGUCAUAUGCACCUACAGUGUUUAAUUAGGUCAAUGUGAUCCAUCAUUUUCUGCUGGGCAUACAGUAUUCGAUUUUCUCCCUGGAUUUUCUUUCAUUCUUUGUUGUCUGACAUAUCUGGGGUCUAUUUUCUCUCCAGAUUUUCAUUUAUUUAUUUUUUAAUGAUUUGUGUUUUGGUUCGUAUCCAUAAAAACGUAUAUAAGAAUUCAUCAUAUUCUAAUUUUCAUGCAUGCACAGUUCAAUACUGAUGAGUGAAUGCAUGACUUUCUCGUUACAUAGUUCUUCUGUGGAUCCAUCAUGUGGCUACGCUUCUGCAUCACCUGCAUUGGCUGCAUUUUAAAAAUUAUAUAUGCUUGCCAAUUUAAUCAAAUUUCUAUCAUCUUCCAUUAAUUAAAAAGUGAGAAACAAAUUACAUUUAAUAAACACAUUUAAUAAUUAUUAAAAACUAAAUUCGUAUUUAAUUACUUGAAAUAUUAGUGAAAUUCAAAUAAAACUAAAAUAUUUAUAUUAAGACACACAAGUUCUAAAACUUAAUUACAUUAAUUAGUAAUGUAUGAAUAUGUUUACACAUAGCAAAUCGAAUAGUUUCUUAAAAAAAAUAGGAUUAUAAAUAUCAAUCAUUAAUUCUCUAGAUACCAAAAUUUAUGAUAUAUAUAUAGGGUCAGUAUGUACAAGGCACUCAUACAAAUGUUGAUAAUAGAUAAUGACUUUACAAGGUUAAUAACUAUAUAAUGUCUGUCUCAAAUACCGACCAAAUUUAUGAUAGGUGGAUCCGAGUUUAUUGUUAUUGUCUCUGUCAAACGGACUAAGUUCUGUGGAAAACCGAGGCAUUGAUUUCAUCAUAUUGAAGCUAAUUAAUCUCAGAACGAUGGCUUCUCGCUUUCAUCUAUGGUUUUGCUUGCAUUUCACCCAAUAAAUAGUCUUACUUUACUUAAAAAUUGAGCUUAAGAUAAUUUAAAAACAUUUUUCUUAUUUAUCUCACAUCGAAAGUUAGCAGAAUAUGGUUAUAAAACACAUACAGAGCAUAUCACAUGUUGGUUGUAUGAAUCAAAGUACGUAAGUGGGUUUGAUCUAAGGUAAAGAUGAUGUAUCCUUUUCAGGUAGUUGUACAAUGGACCUCUCUCUGGGGUCUUUCAUAGUGGAAAACUCAUGUAGUUGCUGACAACACUUUGUAUUAAACCUUUUCAACACCAUGGCAAUAUCUUCAUCACAUGGCGCCAUGUUCUCUUUAGCCAAUCCAAGUGUUUGAUAUUUGUUAUAAAGUGGAAUUUUAAGUCUAACUCAAUCUCACCAAACCGGUUUGUAUGGUAAGGUUUGUACCUCACAUAUAUAUAUAUAUAUAUAUAUAUAUUAUAAUUUGAUUUUAUCUCUAGUUGAUGUAUAAUUUCCAACACACUCCCUUCACGUCAAGGUAUGAAUAUCUCGAACGUGAUAUGGAUAAUCCGAUAACAAGUAGAACAAUAUACCCAACAAAUAACAAAUAUUGUUAUAUUAGACUUUAACAAUAACUCUGAUACUAUGUUAAAAAAUGAAUUUUUUUGUUAAAAUAUAAGAUAAUAUAAUAUAUAUCAAGUAUAUAUUUAGUUUCUUAUUUAUAACUAAGUACUAUAUUAUUUUAUAUUCUAACAACCUUAUACCUAGAUAUGAUGUAUAAAUACACUAUUAAAUUAUUAAAUUGUCUUCUAUUUCUUUCCUUUUGUUCAUUUCUUUUCUCAGUCUUAAAUAUUCGAUAUUAGUUCGACAAGAAAUGACAGAGUAAAAAAUACUUUAUAUGUAUUAAAAAAUAAGUUUUAAAUUUAAUUUAAUUUUAUAAAAUAAUAUAUAAGAUAAGAUUUAUAUUUAUUUAUAUAUUUAAAAAUAACUUUAUUUAUAUAUAUAUAUAUAUAUAUAUAUAUAUAUAUAUAUAUAUAUAUAUAAUAGAUGUGUAACUUUUGCAUUUAAAUUAGGUUUUUGCUCACUAAUCCACGGUCGUUUGCACAUAGAAAGAUCUUUGCAAGGUUUUUCUUUUUCCAGUGAUCAACUAAUUUGUAUUUUUACUAAUUUUGGAUAAAAGUCUUAUUACGAGAUGCUGUUAUGUAAUAAAAAAAAUGGCAAGAGAAUGAUGAGAACGAAGGAGAAAAUGAACAUUUAAGUUUACGAUACAAUUUUGUUACAUAAAUUUAAGUAAGAAUAGUUAGAGAAAUUCAAAAGAUAUAAGUACUUCUUAGUAAUAAUUAUAGAAUUCAUUAAAUUGUAGUAGUUAAAUAGUUAUUUUUAAGACUAGAAGAACAUUAAUUUUAUUUUGGUAAUAAUUGAGUAACCGUGUAUUAAUUAUAUUUUAGUAAUAAUUGUAUUUUUUGCAUGUUCACUAAGACUAAAAACCUAUAGAUGUAAUUAUAGAUGUACGUACUGUUCCAUGUUUUGACAUAUGAAGGGAACGAAGACUAAAGAGAAUAUUGUAUAGUAAAUAAUAAUAUCUUCAAUAUAUAUGAUUAUUAUAUAUUAAUUAAGAUUCACUCUUUCAAUAUUGUUUUAGAAAAUAAUUUCUUGAAUAAAAAUAAACUUUUACCUGUUAUUAUGUAAUAAUAUCUUUACUCAAGUAUGCCCUAUAUAUACUUAUUUUUCAUUAAUGGUUUUUUAAUUUAUCCAUUCCUAUCAACGUCUUAACGUAAAUUGAAUUUGCAAGUUCUGUAAUAUUAAAUUACUUAAAUACUAUUAUAUACUAAAUAAAUCACUCUAUAAUGUUUAUAUUAUUAGUAUAAAUAUAUGUUUAAGAAUAAUUAUUUAUACAAUAAUAUCCUUUAAGUUUAAUUUUAUUUUAUAUUUUACUUCUUUAGAAUUUUAUAUUUCAAUCAAUAUUAACAAAUACUAAUUCAUACUUAUAAAAAUACAUAUCGUCAACGCUCGUUUUCUCAAUGUUUGGUUUGUUUGUAUUAAUAAUGUCUUUGAAGUCAAGCCUUAUAGGUGAAAUCUAAAUCUUUAAAUAGUUAUCCUUUUGAAUAUAUUCAAGUUGGUUUGAUCGGUCAAUGUCUAAUAUAAGUGAAGAAUGAGACUUGUAAAGAAAUUAAAAAUUUCAUUUAAUUUCAAUUUUUAAUUAUCAAUUUUGAUUUUCUUACUCAAAGUUUCAUAAACUUUAAUCAUUUUGAUUUAGAAAUUAAGUUUUUCAAACAAAAUAGGAUUUGUUAUAAUAUAAUUAGGUUUUAAAUAAGUAAUUAUUAUUUUUACAAGGUUGAAAAAACUUUUAAAAUCAAAAAUAUUUUUCUAGCAAAAAUUUUUCUCUAUCAAUUUUUUCUUUUUAAUUUUGAUAUUCUUUUUCUCAAGUUUAAUCUUUUUUUCAUAAUUUAAGUUUUUUUUUUCUCGAUGUUGGUGGUUGAUCAUAAAUUUAAUAUUUAUAUGUCUUGUUAUUUCUUUGUAUCACUUAAAUCUGUAGAAUUUUCAACUUUCAGAAAACUAAAAUUUAAACCCAACACUAAUUCAAUUUCUAUGAAAUGAUAAUUUAAACUUAUAAAUUUAAAUAGAAUGAAAUAUCAGUCUACCUCAUCCAAAUUCUGAAAGUGCAGUUCAACCAUUUUCUUUCCAAUUCAAUAAUUAUUUCGAAAAAAAGCAAAAUAAUUCAAUAAUUCAGCACUUCUUAUUACGGAAAUCAAUAACAUGCAUUCGAUACCAACGAGUCGACAACCAAAUGUUAAACUUAAAUUUUGCUAAUCAAAUUGCUUUAUUGAUAAGUAUACAUUUAAUGCCGAUGUAUUAAUAUGAUUAGGAUUGGGGAGAAUAUUCUAAACGACAGCAAUUUCUUGGUAACACGACUAAUAUAAAGUCAACAUCUCAAUCAACUUGCAACACCCAUGCGUACGUUAAAAAAAUUCAAUAUAAAAAAAAUUCAAUAUGUUUUUCUUCCAAAUAAAAAUUAGAAAUAGUUUUUCUAUAAAUUUUGUUCAAUUUAAUUUUUCAAUUUUAAAUAUAUGUAGAUUAAAUCUUUUAAACCAAAUUUUAUAAAAUUUAUUUAAAAAAUUUCAUUAACAUUUGAAUUAUUUAUAAUCUAUUUAACUUUUGCUUUAAUAUAAGCUAAUAAUUUAAUUAAAAUGAUUAAAUUAAGAUAUUAAUAAAAUCAUAAGACUAAAUUUGGUUGUGCAACUAAAAAUUAAUUGUUAAAUUUUAGUUUUAAUGUCUCAAUAAGUUCCUAUUUUCGUUCAGAAUUUCAAAUAAGUCCCUUUCUUUUUCGACGUCUGAAUUGAGUCCUUAUUUUUGUAAAAUUGAAUCAAAUAGGGUCUUUUCGUCAAAUUGAGAUGAUGUUGUUACAAAGGUACGCUGACAGUGUAAUUUUUUAUUUUUUAUUACGUGACAUUAAAAACGUGACUGAAUUGUAUUUUUUUAAUUUUUGAAUUAAAAAGCGAAAUAUAUAGAGUAUACUUAAUUUUUUAAUUCAAAAAUUAAAAAAAUACAAUUCAGUCACAUUUUCAAUAUCAUGUAAUAAAAAACUACACGGUCAAGAUACCCUUCUUAACGACGUGAUCUUAAUUUGACGGAAAUGUCCUAUUUGAUUCAAUUUUAAAAAAAUAAGGACUUAAUUGAGACGCUGAAAAAGAAAGAGACCUAUUUGAAAUUAUGAACAAAAAUAGAGACCUAUUGAGACAUUAAACCUAAAUUUUAUUGCAAUGUCAAUGUUUUAUUUAUUAUUAUUAGUAUUAUUUAAACUUAAAGAAGGUCCUCUAGUUAUCGAUUUUAUUCUCACAAUUUGGAAAUAAAAAGAAAUUAUCAUAUCCCAUUAAUUAAUCACGUAAGAAGAAUAAAGAAACCAUCAAAUUGUGUUAUAUAUACUGUUAGAGAAACUCUAUGAAAGAAAAAUUCACGAAACAUCAUAGUGAAACCUCAAAAUAAUAAUUAAAAGGAUUACAAGUUCUUUUGAAACCUCUAAAAUUGAUAAAAAAAAACAAAAUUCAUUAAUAAAGUGGACAACAAUAAAAAAGAAGUCUAUAUGAGUAUCAGUUAGACAAUAUUCACUUUUUAAGUUUUUCUAUCUUCGUAUAGAAAUUUUACUGCAAAAAGAUACAUGAUUUUAUGUUGUAUAGUGGAUUGAUAACUGAUAAAGAAAAUCACAUAUUUUAUUUUCCUUAAUUAAAUCAGAAUGAACUCAAUAAAUUUAUUACUCACUCUACAAAUAAUAAGGUAAAUCUUCAUAGUUAUAUCCAUGAAAUACUUAUAUUUUCAUAUGAACAAAAAAAGAGUUUUCGAACUUCUGGUAAAAUUUAUUCUAAAAUUUAAUUCGAUUUGUAAUAUUCAAUUACAAAAUUAUUAAGAAAGUUAUAUAAUCACGUUUCUAUAAAUACUAUUAUUUAAAAAGUAAAAUUUAUUUCUAGCUAUUAGUUAAAUAAAAUUUAAGGAAAUAAUUUGAAAAUUCUAUGUUUAUGGAAGAACUUUAGAAGCUAUAUGCAUGUAUUUAAAAAAUAUUUUGCUAUAACUUUAUGCAUUUUUUCUAAUUAUGACUUGUUUUCAAAAGUGUAUAUAAUAAUAAUAACAACAGUGUACAAAUUUUAUGCACACGACUGAUAAUGAAUAUGAUAUGAGAAUACGGCGUGUUAGUAUUAAAUAUAUCUAAAUAAAUAUUUUAUUCUAACUAUGUAUUAAAAUCUCCUUACUUUACUUUUUUGUAAGUCUUUAUCUAAAAUAAGUCAACUUAUUUAACAUUAAUACUAAAUAAAAUUAUCUCAUACUACAUUAUCUAAAAGAAGUCAAAUUAUUUAACAUUAAUUUCAGUCUUAUCCUUAUUAAAUUUUCUAACUGCAAAGGUCAUUUCAUCUUAUCCCUAUCAAAAGUGUUAUUGAUUAUGAAAUUAUAUCUUUUAAAACAGAUUUGGGUCAACGCCUUUCAAAUACACUUUUACUUUGACUAUGUGAUUCACUGUAUAUGAUAUAUAUUUUCAAGUUUAAAAGAAAAUAUUUUCAUAUAGCAAAAUAUGAAAUUAGAUAGUUUCAGCUAU